rnacentral:lncRNA from 1 species
UAAUACGAGGUAUGGCUAGGUUUAUGUCUUCGAAUAGUUGCAACUCUCAAAAAAUCUGUUCUUUAGUAGAAAAGCAUGAUUUGCAGAUAGCUAUAUGUGGUCAGAGAUUCAAUUACCAAAAAUCAAGAGCUAAAGCAGGCACACAAAGUAAUAAUGAACAGAAUAUAGGCUUAAAUAAAGACAGUAAGGUAAUCCAAAACACAACAUAAAAACUAAAAAAAAGACUUUGCUAAGUUGCAAACUACCAAACAAACUGAACUUAAGAGGGUAUCUGCACAAUAAAUAAGAAAAACAUAUCCAUAAAAGCAAAAAACAAAAGAACAUGAACAAUUCACAUUAGCCUGAAGAAACAAUUUGCAACUCGCCAAUUCCUAAACCAUGGACGAUCUAUAAAGUAAAAAUCUUUCCACAAGACAUCAACAACAACAGUAUAUCCAAUCCAAUCCCACCAGUGAGGACCCUAGAGGAUAGAGUGUACGCACACCUUACCCCUACCUCGGAAGGUAGAGAGGCUGUUUAUCAUAGACCCCAGCUCAAGGAAAAUCAUAUAAAAGAGGUAAAGAAAGUAUGACAAAGCAUUCUAAAAAUCUUUCCACAAGAGUAUAACCUAAAUCAGCAAAAAGAAUGUAACCGCCAUAAGAAUGUUAAAUAAAAGGAAUACCCCCAAAACCCCAUCUCAUUCCCAACACGAACAACAGUCAUACACUAACUAGUUAGACAAAAUGAAGCAGCAAAUACACAAAACUGAUACACAUAACUACUCAAAAAGAACUGAAAAAACAGCAUUUUUUUCAGUGAGCAAAAAAAAAAGGAAAACCUGGUAAAGGAUUGUAGAGGGUAAAGUUGAGGGUUCAUUCAAGUAUAACCAGAAACACAAAGAGAACUUAUUUGUAACUUCAUAAUCUUUGAAUUCCACUUGAAGAUCUCUCAAAAAGCUAUAAUCUUGAACACCCAUAGAACCCCUUUCUCAAAAAAAAUCAAAAAAGAAAACACCCACAAGCACAAAAUCCCAGAAAAAAACGAUCUUUAAUCUUUGUGACUCAACGGCGGCAAUGGCUGCGUCGGUUUUUCUUGACGGCUGUUAAUUAACGGUUUGGUAGUGUCAUCGGCAGUUCAGGUUCUAGUCUUUACAGUUCCCCCCAUAUUGAAGUAUUUGGCUAUAAUCCUCUGUAUCGCGGACUUAUGUAUAUUUGAAUGGUGACCAAUAAGAAUGUGACACGUAGGAUUUUAAAGAAGAUUGAAUUUUUUUUCAAAGUGGAAGUCAAAGCUAAAAUCUUCUUUUUUUUCAAAAAAAAAUCCUCCAAUUUCAUAAUUUCUUUUUUUUAGCCUCCGUUCAUUUUUAAUUGUUAAAGAUACAAAAAGUUAGAUGUUUAUAUUUAUUUGUUUUGUUUGGAAAGCUAAUAGAUAAUUUAUCGUUUAUACUCAUUUUACCUUUAUUAUUAAGUAAUCAUUAUUUUUAAUUCAUUUCCUAAUGAGUAAGAUGAUUUAUAAUAAUUAGAGGUGAUAUAGUAAAAUAAUUAUUUUAUUUGUUGCUUAUUAUCGCGCUGUCAUGAAAACAAAAAUAAUUUACUAAAUAUUAUUUACAUAAAAGAGGUAUUAUAUAUAUAUAUAGUCUUCUUAUGUAUAUUUAUUAUAUUUGAAUUUUAGUUGAAAUUUUUUAAAUACUUUUUUUGAGAAUUUUCUUCAUACAUAAAAAGAAUAAUAAAAUAAAAUAAUUAUAUUAUACCUUCCUAUAAAAGUAUAGAUGUAUAAUUUGGUUCCAUAGGCAAAAAAUAUGGAAAAAAAUUACAUGUAAUAUCUUCUUUAGAUGAAAGAAUAUUCUUAUGAUUUAUAACGAUUUAAAAUAAAUAACAUAAAUACACUAUUUUUUGAAAGUGAAAAAAAAACCGAUAGAAGAAGAAAUAAAUAAAUAUAGUUUUAAAGAAUAGGUGAUAUGUAUUGGAUUUGGUAAUUAUAAUUAAUAUACUUUUACUGUAAAUAAGUAAUAGUUACAAUUAAAUAAUGAGUAAUAUUUUAAUCCUGGAACUUCUACGUACCAAUUAACUUUAAUGUAGAAUAAUAAUUUUUAUAACAUGAAAAAAAUAUAAUUAGCGUUCUUGUUCUUAAAAAGUAAAGUCAAUUAAUUAUUGUUAUUAUAAUUUCAAAACAUUAUGAGCAUGUAAGCCAAUAUGAACUCAAACAAUGAUGACCCAAAAUGCCCUCUUCUCGUAUUUAUUCUAUAUUUAAGUUAUUUAUCCCGAUACAAUAUAUAUUUGACUAAAUAUACAUACAUCAUCUUCUUAUAUUGAAUUUUAGAGAUAAAUCUAGUACUAAUUUAUAAUACUAAUUAGAACUAAAAGAAAUUAUAGAUUUACAACAAUAAGAAGUUCAUACAAGAAUUAAACUUAAAAGUCAUCAUAAAGAUACACAAGAAAGAAAUAAUACAAUACAUAUAUCAUUGUGACUUUAACCAUUAAAAUAAAAAAUUGAAGGAAAAACAAAAUCAAUACAUAUUGUCUAAAAUCUUGUCAUAUCCACUUCACAAGUCUAUCAAUAUUCAAGAGCUUUCCUCUUCUUUUUCAAGUCAAACAAAAGCAGAGAGACAUUACUCUUGUUGAUAUCCAAUUCACAAAUCUAUCACUAUCCAAAUGCUUUCUUCGUAAAAAAUUAAAUUUAAGAGACAUCAUAGAGAUAUAUAUAAAAAAAAAGUAAAAAGGAAUAGUACAAUACACAUAUCAUUAAAAAUAGAAGGAAAAAGAAAUCAAUACAUAAUUAUCUAAGUUGUUGUCAAUAUCCACUUCACAAGCCUAUCAAUAUUCAAGAGUUUUGUUCUUCUUCUUCGUUUUCAAGCCAAAUAAAAGCAUGAAUAUAAUACUAUAGUAAAAAUGAAGGAUAACUUUGGAUAAAAUCUCAUGAAACAAAAAAAAUGAAUUUAUAUAGAAAUAAUAGAGGAAUAUCAUAAAGUAACUUUCAUAUUUAAUGGUUAUGAAUAUGAAAAGUUGUAAAUUAUGAGAGUUAUAACUAUAUGCAUAUUAUAUCUAAUAAAGAAGAUAUAUUAUGGUGGAAGAGGGUUAUGAAUAUGAAAAGUUGAAAAUUAUGAGAGUUAUGAAUAUAUGCACAUUAUACCUAAUAAAGAAGAUAUAUCAUAGUGGGAGAUGAAAAGUUGAGUAAUUGAAUAUAAAGACUUUAUGAGUUAUUAAAAUAAAAUAAAUAAUUAAAUGAAGAAAAAUGGUAAAAAAAAAGGAGGAAAAAGAUAAAUGUAAAUGGAGGCCAUAGAGAGGUGUCACAUCACAUUGUCUAUGUUCCUCCUUUAUAUAAAUAUAUAGAUGUGUCAAGUCAAAUAUAGACGAAAGGAAUAGUAUUUACAUUUUGAAAAUGUUAAAAGGUUUUUGGUACAAAGAAUGUUGAAACUUGAAAAUCGAAAAGCAUUACAUAAUAAAGACUUUACGAAUAGUUUACUAUAAAGCUAAAAAAUUUGUGGGUUACAUAAGUGAUCACAUAAUUGUUACGUUGUUACAGCAUCGAAACGUCGUGAACAAUCACAAAGAUAACUUUUCCCCAAAUAUACAAGUGCCAAUAAAACUAUGAACAUACAACAACAUACCAAAUAACAUACCAAAUGUAGUCUCACGAAAUGGGAUCUGAGGUGGAUAGAGUGUACGCAGAGUAUGAACAUGUAAGAUAUCUACGUAGAGUAUGCUAAAAAUGAGUACAUUUGACCAACUUAUAUAUUAUGUAUAUGUGAACAUAUGAACUUUUAACACAUCACACAGAAGAAACUCUCAAGUUUAAUUGAAACUUUAGAAGCAACAUUAUUCCUGCAUAUGAAUAAUUCUGCAGCUUGAUAUCUUGAAUUUCUCGUAAAAUCGAUAACUUUGGUAUUCUACGCAGCACAUUUCUACUUUGGCUUCAAUUUCAGGGAAGCGCUGCACGAAUAAGCUAGGUUUCAAUCUCAUAUAAAUGCUAAUGACAAAAUUCAGAGCAACUGAGAAUGAGCAUAGACUGUAUUAAAGGAAGUAAAGUAAUGUACCUAUUGAUGCAGUAACGCUUUCCAGUAGGCGGAGGGCCAUCAUCAAAUACAUGCCCAAGAUGAGCAUCGCAAGCUGCACAUAGAACUUCUUGACGAGGCAUGAAAAUGAUAGACAAGUCCAUCUUUGACUUCACAUUGUUGUCUAUGGGCUGGUAGUACGAUGGCCACCCGGUUCCACUAUCAAAUUUGGUAGAAGAUCUGCAACAAGCAAUAUCGAAUUUCAGGUUACAAAUGAUAACAAAAGUAUUAAGAAUGGUUUGAGUAAUAAUCAAAUAUAAGGAGAACACAUACUCAAAUAAAGGAGUGUCGCAGCAAAUGCAGUGAUAUGUUCCAGGGGUCUUACUGUUCCAGUACUCCCUGGAAACAAGAACAAUGAAGAGAUCAGUAAAACAGGCAGCGACGAAAAAUUUAUAGCACCAUAUUUACCAUCCCAAUGGAAGGGUACUAAGCAAUCAAUGAAACUACAUUACUAGACUACUACAUAUAUAAGCAAUGCAAUCAUGGGAUAUCCUUAAUUAAAAUAUCGUCUACAAUUUGAUAUAGAAACUUGUUUGCACGCAUAACGUCUAGAGACGUUCCAGCAUACCACAUCAUGUCUGUGGUAACGAUCCUUGGGCAUUUAGAGAUGAAUUCUGAAUUCAGGGCUGAAUCAAUUUUGGGGAAGAUUCUCAAAUUUAGCAUAGACUAUUAUCAUCUAGUAUUAAUGCAAGCAUUACUAAUACACUCUAUUUAGCAUCAUUCCUAUACACUUUACCAAACGACCCCUAAGAGAUCAUCUAGUUCCUAGUUCUUGCUUUUAAGUAGGAUCGAAGAAAUACCGAACUCAAUAUGCUGACAACCUCCCCGUGUCUUCCUCUCUCUGACACGUGUAAAAUAACAAGCAGUAUGUUUAGUGGUCCAGUAUUUGACACAGAUUAUUACAAGACAAUAGGAAAUGUGAAGGUUAAAGUAGGGUGUGUUUGUAAAAGAUCUAAGAGACAUUGUGAUGGUUGUCGCAGGUAGCUGAAACUGGAAGGCCAAGAUUGUUGUAGAAACUUUUAAAUAUCGGAUUCUGAUGAGGACCAAAUAUACACAUUCCCUCUAAAUACUUCUCCUUCUUUUUGCGUUUAGGUGUAUAGAAGUCUACUGUUUCCCCUAAAUCGUUGGGUUUAUAAAUGGAACCCUCAAAAAAUCUGCCGCAAAAUCUCAUCUACAUACCCCAAGUCAUCAAACUUUUCCUUCUAAAAUCCAAUUCUUAAAUUAGCCAGCCUUGUCCUCCUCAAAUGUAUAUGCUAACAUUUGAUCAAUCAGCAAUACAACAGUAAGCAUCAGACUACUCACCAAUAUUCGAAUACUGAUGGUUAGCAUCCUAAUAUUAUUUAAUUUUACUGACAAGUGAUAAUCAAAAGACAAAAGAUCCACUCCAGCAUAAAAGGAAAAGAUGAAUAGAAAAAGAUCAUACCCAGUGAAUGCCCGUUCUGUACCCUUUUGCCGUGUAAUGUAAAAUUGUUCAUUUGUUAACUUCUUCUUCCACUCCUCAUCGCUUACAGAGCUAUAAUCCAUUUUACUGGCCCCUGCACAAUGAUGUUCAUUUUUUAUGUCAUGGUAAGAUGAAUCACAUCUCCGAAAGCUCCAUACUUUAACAAUUUCAGCAACAUCUCAUAAGAUGAAUAGACAAAUAUGCUUCACAAAGCUUAAAUUUAUGCCAAACCAUUUCGAGACUACUUCACAAAAAUACCAUCAACCUCAGCAGUAUAAUAAUCUUAUCUUAGUAAAAUCAAGUUGUACAUUGUCACAUUGAUGCGAAUACGGACUCUGGGCAUAAUUCAACCCCAAAAGCUAGCUCACGAAGUGAUGAUUGCACAAGAUGGCACAUAACCACAUCCCCACCGAUAUCUAACUCUACAAACAUUUUGAAAGUUUUCAUGUUCUUGUGGCAUUUCAACUGCUUUCUUGAGCCAAAUUCCCAGUUCCCAAAAUUCUUUUAUAAUGGUUCUUGACUAUUCCACAACAGUAGCUGCUACUUCCCACCAGCACAAAGUACAGGUAAUUCAAUCAAUCUCCAUAAUAACUUGGUACAAAUUUUGUAAGAGAUACAACAAGCUCAGAACAUAAAAACUAAAGACUGAACCUUUAAAGUUCUUUCAUAUUCUAACUUUUACUAUAGUGUAAGCGGAGCUACCACUUCUCCUACACGUUUGACAGAACCCAAUAGCUUUAGCUCAAACUUGUAUUUAUAUUGAAAAACAAACCACUUAAUAUGUAUAUAAGUAACUUAUCAACAUUCUAGAAUCCAAAACCUAUAAACUAACAACCAGGAGGGGGUCACCGGGUUCACGUGAACCCAUGCUCCCCUCCUGAAAUCAUAUAUAGUAGUGUUAUAUUUUUUAAAAAUAUUUAAAUAUAGAUAUGUGAACCCACACUUGAAGUAUUAUACCGUGCGAUUAUGUUGGGUGCACCUCUCCAGAGGUUAGAAAUUUGAAUCUUUUAGUUAUCUUGUUUUAUUUUCCUUUUUAAAAUUGGGUAAUAUCUCUCUAAGUGGUUUGGAUAGGUAAAAAUAACUUUGGACCUAUAAUUUUAAAAUUUUUAUUAUUUUUAGUGAUAAGAACCUAAAUGUUAAAUCGAUCAAAUUUAUAUCUUAGAUCCACCUUUUUGUAAUAGUGCAGUCAUCAUCUCAAAAUUCUGGAUACGCCUCUGCUAACAACAACAACAUAUUCAGGGUAAUCUCAUGAGCGGAGUCUGAAAGGCAAUAAAUUGAGGCAUUCAAACAAAAAUGGAAAAGUGAUUCUCUAUUCUUACAAAUUAUACAUAAAUAGAGGAGAGAAAAAGGAGACCUUGAGCACUAUCGGGUUUCGAAGAAGAAGCUGAGGAGCCCAUUGCGCGAAUUGAGACUGAAAUUCUGUUUCUGAAUCCUCCAAAAGUUAGGCAAGACAAUGGCUUGCUGUUAAAUCCCAAUUGGGGUUUUGAUGAAAAGUUCACUGCUGAGCUGAAAGAGGAUAUUGGUAUGGUCCAAGAAGCCAUGGACAUAUGCUAAAAUUAAUUCUUGAAUAUGAAAAUGCUGGUAUUUUCUAGUAUUCAUAGAGGAUAUGUUCCCAUGCUCCGCAAGUCCAUUGAGAGAUGGUGGUUUAUCAUCAUAAGCCGCUAAAAAUGUUGACUUGUCCUUUCCUAUCCACCGUAGAUAUACCAGGAUGUAAUAUGAGAAUUAAAUUUGUAUGAUCUAUGUAUUUAAAUUACAAAAUAUAAAUAUAUACCGAGUUUUUCAUUUAGGUAGUUUUUGUUUCUCCAUGUUCUUCUUAACUACUUCGAGAUAAUAGUUUUUAGUGAUUUUUGUUUCGUAUAAUGACAAUAGUGAGCAAAGUAACUAUCAAGAAUAAGUAGAGGUCUCGGGUUCGAGCCCUGAGUAUGGAGAAAAUCUUGUUGGAAGCGUCACCCCCGAAUGGGCCCUGCAGAGCGCAAUUCGAAUUUAGUCAGAACUUCAAUGUGGGCUCCAGACACCGGGUGGGAAACAAAAAAAAAAGUAUUUUAUUCUACAUUUUCAAUUAGGUAAGUGGAGCACGAUACUUCACGAAAUUUAACAUUUAAAAAGAGAAAGGAUUAUGUUAGUGCAAGCAUGAAUGGCAAUCCCUUCUACCAUGCCAAUACUUUUGCUUAGCUUAACUUUGAAAUUAGCUGAGAUCUUGAUUUUAACUACAUAUAUCUAUAUUGGUUUAUUGAAAAGAAAAGUAUAAAUGUGUCGGUUUGAAAUGAAGAUACUAUGUGUGAUCACUUUAUCUAAAAGUUCAUAUGUUAAAAGAGAAUUUAUCUAUUUACGACACUGUAUGUCUAUCUAAAAUCUUACUGGUUGUGACCAGCUUUUGAUCGUGAAGUCGAGUGUAGCUGAAUAUGCCUUAUUUUGAGUAGUGGUGUUCUUUCAGUUGGCCAAGAUUGAGGCUUAUAGAUAACCACGUUAACUGAAAAUAAUUUUAAUGGGCUUUGCAUUGCUACUGGGCCUGGGCCACAAGCUUUUAUUGCCUGAUUGGGCCUCAAGUUCUCUGACGGUAAAGGUUUAUAUGUUAUAGCCAUUUGUACGGUGGUGUUUAAGUGGUAGCCAAUCUAAUUACUCCCUCCGUCCCAUUUUAUGUGGCAACAUUUCCUUUUUGGUCAGUCCCAAAAAGAAUGUCACUUUCCUUAUAUGGUAAGUAUUUAAAGGUGCAAUUCCUCUUUUACCCUUGUUGGUCCCACUUAAUCUUAAAAUAAUACUCCAAUACAUUUAUGAGGAGAGAGAAAAGUGAGUGUACUUUUUAAAGGGCAAUUUGGUAAACAUUUCAAAGUCUUCAUUUAUUUCUUAAACUCCGUGCCCGGUCAAAUGUUGCCACAUAAAAUGGGACGGAGGGAGUAUUAUUUUUGCAAUUAUAGUUAUUUUGUUUUAGACAAAUAUUAGAUACUUUAUUGUCCUUAUUAGUACAUAUUAGCUAUUGGUUGAAAUUAAGAGAAAACAACACAAAUUUCAUUGAUAGGGUCUAAUUAUGUGUCUUCUCGUGUGUUUUCAAAAUUACCAUUCACGUCAGAUUUUGAUUCGAGGCACAUGUAUCUUGUGUGUAUUGAUAUAUGUAUCUUAGAUAUAUGAGAUCAAAAUUUGCUAUAAUUUAUUUCAGAUACAUUGUAUCCCAGUGUGAUUUACAUAUAUUUGAGAUAUAUUGACUCUCUCGCUCGCUGCUCGUCUCCCUCCCAUGUAUUUCCAUUUCAGAAUGUCUUGGAUUGUAUCUUGUAUUUUGGAUACAUAUAUCUAGUGUGAUUCACGUACACAUGUUGUCACUCUUGCCUCCUUCCUAUCUCACUCGCCUCACUCGUAUAUCCUCGCUCAGUAUUUUUUUCCUUAUGUAUUGUGUUUCAAAGUAUAUAUGAUAGCAAAAAUACAUAUAUCCGGGUGUGUCUAACUUCAAUUUUGAUAUAAAACUAUUAAUUAGUUCAAAUUAUAGGAAGAAUUAAUUAAUAUAAUUAAAAUAUUUGUAUAAUUAUAUAAUUUUUCCCAGAGCCAUCAAAAUGGGCUUAGCCCAUGGGGCUGGUGGCCCAACCCGUUAUCGGGGUAGGGUUGGGAAUAAGAUUUUUCAAGCCCCUUCAAAACUAGGGCUUAUAAGCCUGAUCCAUAUAAGCCUUGCUCCUUGAGGCUUAAGCGAGAUCAGGCCAGAGUCGGCCCAUGGGCCAAAACUAUUUAUUUUGGGGUAACUUAUAGGAUUUUCACUAGUGUAUGAGCUAAUUACUUAGAUGCACGUUAUGUUGUAAUAGUAUGAAUCUUACCAGAUAUUGGUGUGUCCAGAGACACAUAGACUCAAAAUUAUGUGUUAUUUGUUUUAGAUAUACUCUAUGCAUGUAUCUAGGAUACAUUGACGAAUCCCACACCCUCGCCUCCUUCCCAUCUCGCUCGCCACUUUCUUAUCUCGCUCGGGUAUGUGGGAUGCAUCACACCAAAUACAUCUAUCUCGCGUAUCUAGUAUCCUAGAUACAUGCUAAUCACACUGAAUUUUUUUGCUUGUGUUAUUGAAAAAACACCAUUGUUUGUCAUAUUUGAUUUGAAAAUCUUCUUGAUGUCAUAUUAUUUUAAGUUUGAAAAGAACAAAAAAUGAAAGAAAAAAAAAAGGCUAGCCCGCCCCUGCCCGCAACCCUUCUAGGAUUGGGUUGAAAAUUUUUAGGCCCUUUCAAAUUAAGGGUCAGCCUGCCCUAGCCUUUCAAAUUUUUUGACCCACGAGAUUUGGAACGGGUGGGACUAGGCUGACCCUUUUUGACAACUCUAGUUUCAGUAAGUUUUAUCCAAAUAUUAAACAAUUUGACUAUAAAUUAGAGAGAGUCCUAUAAAAACUGGAUAGGUUAUCUGUGCACUUACCUGGAUCCGACGUGUAAUUCGUAAUAAAAUACUAUUGUUUUGUCACAUGGGGCGUCUCCAUCAAUUACUCUCAAUCAAGAAUGACUCAAACGCCAAAGCAAAAUUUUGAAGAAGAAGAAGAAAAGAGGGAUAGUGUAGAAAACAUGAAAGGUCUAACAACACCUUUACAAUCAAAGUAUUGGCACCCAACAUCCCUAAACAACCUCAAAAACCCAGAAAGUUUCAAUCUUUACAGUCACCCAGUUCAAUUUAAUGGCAAAAACAACAACCCCAUAUCAAGAAAAGUGAAACCCAUCUCUUGUUUUGCUUCAGAGAACACAAAUCAACCAAUCUUGAAAGAAUCAAAGCCUCCAUUGGUUGUAGUUGGAUCAGCUAAUGCAGAUAUCUAUGUGGAGAUUGAUAGGUUACCAAAAGAAGGGGAAACAAUUUCAGCCAAAACAGGUCAAACAUUGGCUGGUGGAAAAGGGGCUAAUCAAGCUGUUUGUGGUGGAAAGCUUGAUUAUCCAACUUUUUUUGUUGGUCAAGUUGGUGAAGAUGCUCAUGGGAAAUUGAUUACUGAAGCUUUAGAGAGUGGUGGAGUUUGUGUGGAUCACCUUACUACUGUUUCUAAUGCUCCAACUGGAAAUGCUGUGGUGAUGCUUCAGUCUGAUGGGGAGAAUUCGAUUAUUAUUGUUGGUGGUGCAAACAUGUCUUGUUGGCCUGAUGAAUUGUCAUAUGAGGAUUUGGAGAUUGUGAGAAGUGCAGGGAUUGUGUUGCUCCAGAGGGAAAUUCCAGAUUUUGUUAACAUCCAAGUUGCAAAGGUUUGAGCUUUUCGGUUUUAUGUUUGAUUUCUCAAUGGCUAUAUUCAAUUAGGCGAAAUUCAAUUUGUGUGUGGAUUUGUUAAACUUAGAAUCGAAUAUGUUAGGGUGGGUUACUGUCCACAUUGGUUAGGGAAUGGAAUGAUGGUUUAAUAAUAUGUAGUUGGACAAUGCGAGUUAGGCUCGGGUGCUAUAGCUUUACAUGGUAUCAAGUUAGGCCUGGGUGUCAUGCCUUUACAUGGUAUCAAAAUUGGGAAACCUGGUCCACGUUUCAAUCAGGCCUGGAUGUGAAUGGGGUGUUAGAAUGGGUUAUAACCCCACAUUGGUUGGUGAACGGACGGAUGGUUUGCUUAGAUGGACCUGGGCAGUACUCCCCUCAAGUGCUAGCUUUUGGGGUUGAGUUAGGCACACGUGUCAUAUCUUUACAAUAUUUAUAUUUUCUCACUAUUUCAGUAUUUCUUUUAAGCUAUCUUGUUUUUAUGUUUUUGCUGAAACUAAGGACUAAGGUUCUCCUUUUGAGGAACUGUUAUCAUACGUAAGUAAAGAAAGGUAGAUCAUUUUCUUUUUGGGCAAAACAGGAGAUUAUAUUAUAUUAAGUUAUUAACUAAACUGUGAAGCAGUACAAGGAGCAUUGUGCUGGCUUGGUCCAGCAUCAUUACAGUAGUUACUUACAGUAGUAGUGAUUAGGGGGCGAUCAAUUAAGGAGUCGUUACUGAAAGAAGCGGGGACAUGGGACCCUAUCCAAAAAGAUGCUUCUAACGGGGACUCGAGUGAGUUACUAGUGUACUAAUAGGGGGUCCUGAGAUGUCUUCCGCUAGUAUACUAAGCAUGAAAGGAGAUGGUGAUGCAAAAAAAGAAGGUAGAUCAUAAUAAUGUAUUUUCCCCACCUACCUUUUUCUUGAGGUAAAUUAAAAUUUGCCUUGGAUAUCUUUUCUAAUGUUUACUUGGAUGAUUAAGGUCACUGUCAGAUCAGCUUAACCAGUUGUAAUUGUGAGUUUCGCGCACUGAGAAGGGAAAUAUCCUUCUUUUACAUAAAAUUGGAGAGAGCUUACUUUCAUUGAGUUUUCUGUGAUACUCUUUUCUUUUUUGGCAUUCCAAAAUACUAUUCCAUUGAUGUAUUACUUACUUUAUGCUACUUUGACGAAUUCAAAUUCAUUUAGCUGUUUAAAUUUCAAUCUCUGAUGUGAUAUUUUCUUUAUCAAACUAACUUUCCAAAAACAGUUUUAAUAUUUCUUCCACUACUAAAAUAAUACACAAGGCAAUUACUAUCUUGAGCUCCAUAUCUAAUCAAUCAUCAUCAUUUAUUGAAAUGAAGGAAGUAUAUUUGUGUGUGUGUUUUCGUGAGUGUGUGUGUGCCCACAUGUGUCAUGAAGAUGUCAAGUGUUUUUGGCUGAUAUGCUUCUUUAAACAUCUUGGUAUCUUCAGGCUGCCAGGAAUGCAGGUGUUCCAGUUAUUCUAGAUGCAGGUGGAGCGGAUUCUCCAAUCCCUCUAGAACUUCUUCGUUGUGUUGAGAUUUUCAGCCCAAAUGAAACUGAGCUGGCUCGCAUAACAAAAAUGCCAACUGGAAAUUUCGAACAAAUCAGCAAUGCAGUGGAGCAGUGCUAUGACCUGGUCUGUUUUUCAUGUACCUGUUUAUUCAUUUUUCCUAAAGUUUGCAUCCUAAAUUCAGGACAUAUUCUUGCAGCAUUUCACUUGAUUUAGACUUUAUCCGUGACCCAAAAUAACUAUCCGAGUUACAUUUUCGGGGUCUGAAUUUAACAGUCCCUUUUGAUGUGUUAUAGUUACCUGCCCUUAUUGAUUUUGCAAAAUGUAUAGGUCCUGAUAGGCUUUUGCUUGCUGAAUCAUAAAUGUCUGGUGAUGGCUUUGCUUCUCCUUAUAAAUAUGAUGACUUAAUGCUUUGUUGUUUGUGGGGCUCUGGUUUGGUCCACCGACCUAGUAGGACAUUCCUAGUUAGAUUUAGCUACGUUUCCUGAUUUCUUGCUCAAUGUUUGGGGUGUCACAAAUUACAAUAGAUAUCUGUAAAUUUGUAAUAUAUCAAUUUGAUUUUGUGGAAUGAUGUUUCCAUGCUCUUUUGUUUCCCAGGGAGUUAACCAGGUCCUUGUUAAGCUUGGGGCCAAUGGAUCUGCUCUUUUCACCAAAGGAGAGGAACCCUUGCGGCAACCCAUUAUUAAAGCUGCAAAAGUCAUUGAUACAACAGGAGCUGGUGACACUUUUACAGCUGCUUUUGCAGUGGCCCUAGUGGAGGGUAAAUCUAAAGAGGAAUGUUUGAGAUUUGCUGGUAAGCAUGCUGGUGCUUUCUCCCAAUUUUUGUUUCAGCUUCUUUACUCUUAUAUUUUUUCUUCAAACAUGUUUCGUAAAGCUUUUUUCUUGAGCUGAGGGUCUAUCGGAGACAACCUCUCUAUCCCACAAGUAGGGAUGAGGUCUGCGUACAUCUCACUUCCCCAGACCUCACUCGUGGGAUCAUAUUGGGUAUGUUGUUGUUGUAGUUACAUAUCUAAUAAAGGCUUGUGCAUUUACAGCUGCAGCAGCUUCUCUAUGUGUUCAAGUGAAGGGAGCCAUUCCAAGCAUGCCCGAGAAGAGAGCAGUGUUCAAUCUUCUUCAGUCAGCUUGAAGACUCGGAGUUUCCUUUAUCAUCUCCUUGUACAAAAAAGUAAGAGGUAGUCUUCUAAAUGUUUAGAACUUCGGAUUAUAUUAGUUGGUGCUUUACCCUAAUCAUAGGAGAAAAAAAAAAGACUGUUCAAAAAGACAGUCUCCUAGGAAGAAUUAAAUGAGAGGGAACACAGGGGGAUCUAGAUGAAGUUCCAGUUGACAAUUACUCCUCCGUUUUAAUUUGUUUGUCUUACUUUCCUUUUCCAUUUCAAAAAAAUGUCUCUUUCUUCUUUUUUUGGCAACUCUUCGAUUCUAACUUUCCACAUAACAUGUUUUAAGGCCACAAGCUUAAAGGAAUAAAUAAUAAGAUAAUGUUGUCUUCAUAAUCUCGGCAUAUACAUUGGUUGUCCAAAUAUGUUGAAACCGAAAAUUAGAAUUUGGAUGAAAGAUGAACAACAAACCAAAUCUGACUUUGUUAUAAACUGUGAUAGUAAUGAAAUUUGAAUACCCCUCUUCCCUCAUGUAUGCCUCUGUUGUAUGUGGUUCAAUCAAGUUCCGAUUUCUGGUUAUUGAAACAGUAUUGCUUUGCGUUGGUGAAAAGACUUUUCAUUUAUUUCUUGAUAGGAAGGUUCUCAGGUUGAUGAGUUGAAGUUCCGGACUCUUGAUUUUCAUAAAGAGGUGAACAAAUACUAUCUAUUUGCUCUUUUCUUUUGGUAAAUUUUUUCCACUUUCCUUCUAAACCACCACACUUGUGCAUCUGAUAUAAUUCAGGACUUCGGUGGAGCACUUGUUAACUUCGGGAAGUAGCGCUAAUCUGCAUAUUUUGCUUGUUGAAUUGGGGAUUCAAGAUACAGCUCUGAAAUACUUACUCUAGCUUUUUCUGAAGAACUUCUGGUGUAGCAUAGUUUUCGAUAAAUUGUUCUUUUCUUGUGCUUCUGUCAUCUCAGCUGAUAAAUAACUCCAGGAAGUUGGUUAGCAUAGCUAGUAUUUUCGUUAACGAUUAAUCGUUACUGAUUGUUGCUGAAAAGAUUGCCAGCUUUGAAAAACUUGAAUGAUAUAAGCCUCUUGUUUCUGACUGAUUUACUUAUAUUAGUUUUGCUAGUAUUCUUGUGCUUCUUUUUUGUGUUGCCAUUUAGUUUCAAGUUUGAUUGCAUGAAGUGAAAAUAUAGGAGUAUUUGAUUAUGGUCAAGUAAUAGUUGUGUUAAACACAUAUCACGUAUCUGUUGUAAAUAUCUGAUGCGGAUAAUUUUUUACGAUGAAUACACCUUUAUAACAUUAGGUGCAGUUAUUUUAAUUCAAACUAUCUAUAUUCAUACACUUUUUGGUUACCAAAACUUAAUAAAUACACCCAAAUUCCAUACCUAACCUAAUUUUUUUAGAUUCUUACCUAAGCCAAUCAAUAAUGCAGAAAAAAGAGUGAUGGAUUUAACGGUUGAUUUUGUUUUCAAAAGGACGAAUGCAAAUGAUUUGGCUUAUAAUACAAUUUUUGCACAAAUGUGAAUAACGUGUUUGUUUGUUUUUCAUUUCUUCGUAGGACGUGAUCUUUUUUAGACUCUAUUAACGUGAGAUGCUUUGUGUAUUGAACUAUUUAUUUGUUCUUAACGACGGUGAAAAGAAAGUCCAAAAUAUCAACUCUUGCAAAGGAUGAGGACCUUUUGGUUGGAAUUAUAUGAACACUUAUUUGGACUUAAAUCAAAUACGUAACGGGAAAAUUCCGUUGAAAAUCUCUCCAUUUAUUUUAUUUUAAUCUUUUAAUAUAAUAUUUUUAUCUCUCCAUCUCAGGUCUUUUUGUUUAGAAAAAAAAAUAUUGGGCAAAAACAUUUUUAUUUAAGUAUUUCUGCUGACUACAGUUUUAACUUAUGUACUCCCUAGUCCCAUUCUAUUUUAUGUAAAUGUAUUAUCCACAAAGAUAAGCAUAAUUUUCGUAAAAUUUAUCUUUUUUCUGUUCUACUUGUGAAAUUUACUUAUUAUUAUCGCAAAGAUAAUAUAUAUUAUUAACUACACAAAAUUUUAUUAAGAAAAAAAUUGUGUCAUUUAAAUAAGUGAAACGACAAAAGAGAAAAUGAAAAGGUAUUACGCGGUGUUUUCUGUUUUUUGACAGUAAAAUAGUGGUCAUCUUUUUGUCACGUUUUAUGCAAUUAUCUUGUGGUAAAUAAAACUAGAAAAAAAUAAUGUAAAGCCUGACUACAUAACAAUGAUUGAGUUAAAAUCAAUUUGCAGUUGGAAAAAAAGAGUGAAUUUAUUGAUCAUAAAAAGUUAGUGCAUAUACUCAGUGAUAUUGGAAGUUUGUUUUUUUUAAAAAAGAAUUAUUUGAUUAAUAGUUAUUAUCUCAAAAAAUUAGUUUAUUCAUCAAAAAAAUUAUAUAUAUUUAAAAACAAUAACUUGAAUGGUAUAUAAAAUUGCUGUUAGUCCUGUAAUAAAUUAAAUAUGUAAAGAAAUUCUCAACCAUUUUAAAAUACUUCAAAUUAAUUAUUGCUUCAAGUAAAAUUAAAUAAGAAAAACGAGUUAAUUCAAAUCUUAUAAUUAGAGAUGGAGAAAUUCUAUCGAAUGAAUACUUGAAAAAAAUAAAAGUAAAUAUAAUAACAAGUAGAAAACGACUGAAACCUUAGGAAGUAUAAAAAAUAAGGGGGAUGACACAAUUGAAAAGUAUUCAUUGAACAUUUCUAGUCACACAAAAAAGAGGUCAAUUAGCAAGAUAAGGUCAUACAUCUUUUGAAGGAUGGAAUAAUAUCAAUACCAACGAUGUUUCAAUGAAAAUAAAAGGUUUGUCAAGUAAUUAAUUGUCUAUGGAUACAAAAAAUAAUAAUCCAAGUUGCACGAAUUGAUUAGUAAUGAGUGAAAGAAAACAUUCGAGAUUUAUCUGUUAGCGACUUAUAUAAUAAUCGAGUCCAUAAAUAAUAUUAUAAUUAAUUAAAUAAAGUAUAUUAUUUAUUAUUUUUAUUAUAAUGAUACCUCAGAAAAAGCAGCACCUUAGUAUCAAAAUGAUAAUGAUUCAUUAGGAAAAAAACAAGGACGGACGGACCACACAGAGAAAGAACAAAAAAGUAAAUAAAAAGUUGUAAUAGUGAUAGGAAGCAUCCAAAGGACCAAGGCAAUGCCAUUUUGGAAUAUAUAUAUAAUAUAAAAUAAGAUACACCACAAUUGACUAAACAGAAAAUAAAUAAAAAGCAUAUUCUAAUUUUAUAUCUAUUUUUUUGUGGUUGGUGUAGUCCAUUGCAAGUUGUAACUACCAAUGUCUAUGAACAAGACUACAUAACUAGUUCUUGUUCCUUGUGUUGUUCUCGGUGAUAUUUGAAUUAACUUGUGCAUAUUUUCAUAUUGUUUGGAGGUAAAUUCAAAAUUUAAUGUCGACUAAAUUAGCUUUGGUUUAUUUUCAUAUUUUUAUAAGUGGAUUUAAAAGUUGAUGGCGUUCAAAUUAGUUUAUGCAUGUCUUCGUAUUUUUAGAGGGAGAUUCAAGAUUUAUAAUGAAUUGAUUUUCACCAAUUAUUAUUAUUAUUAUUUUUAAAAACAAAACACUUUAUUUUAUGUGCUCAAGAGGAAUCAAAUUAAACCCUAAUCAAAGACCGCAAUUACAAAGUUAAAAGCAAAUUCUUUUUUCUAUCACUAGAUCAAGAGACUAUCUUGUUAUUUAAUAUUUGUUAUGUGUUUGAUAGAUUUCUCAAUAUGAAUACACAAUCUAUGCAAAAGCUAUUGAGUUCUCGAUAACCCGCACCCCACACCCUAGAUUUGUCCCCACAUAUUUCAUGUUAUUUUGAAACACAUUCCUUUUGGGGUGGAGGUGGGGUGGGGUGGGGGGCUUAGUACAUUUAGUCCUUCAAUAUUGAUAAUUUAUAUUUUGGUCCUUCUAAUUUAUGAUUAUGUACAUUUGGCCUUCAAUGAAUUAAUAUAUGUAAUUCUUAUCACUAAAUGAAUAUUCACAAAUUUAAUGAAUUAUUAAACAAUUUAAUAUUGAUGUAUUAUGUUAAAUUGUGCGGUUAUUCCAUAUUCAAGGAUAAUAUAGUUGUUAAAAUAGUCUAGAUAUGAUAUAUUUUCUUUAUGAAAGGACCAAACUGUACAUUUUUUAUUAAGUAAAUAAUGUUAAAUAUGUUUAAUCAGAUAUAACAAAAACUAAAAACAAGAAUUCAUCAACAACUUAGGGACCAAAAUAUAGUUAUCCAAUUUCCUUUUAAUAUGUUUCAGAGAAAACGUUAAUCAUUUCUUUUAUAUUUAGAAUUUAGAAAAUAAUUUUUAUUUUUUCCGUCUUCCCUUAAUGUCGUGUUCCUAUAGGUUAUAAGAAAGAAUGUAAUAUAUAAUAUAUUGAUUUUACAUGUCAAACGUUUUAUUUUUUAUCUUAAAAUUAUACAAUUAGUCAAGCACCGUCCAAUGAAUUCGAUGAAGUAUUAAGGUCAAUGAGUAGUAAUGUAUUCUAAAACAUUUGUGACUUUAUAUUUUUUUAAGAUGUGAUGCAUAUGAAUCUUGAUUAAUACUUUAUAAAAAUGUAUUAUUAUUUUUUAAGUUCCAACAAAUUACAUAAAACAUAGAAAUAGGGUUGUGGAAGAAGGAAUAGUAUAACUUCAUGAUUUUAGAUUCGAAUCCAAAUAUAUAAAAAAAUAAAUUAUUCAAUUAAACUUUUUUUUAUUAAUUUUGAUACGAGUUUAAAUUAAUGGGGAAAAAAAUUCCUAGACACACAUGGGUUGUCUUUAUCGACGUCAUUCCCCCACGCCCACCACCCCAUAUUUCACCAUCAACUUUGGGUGGUCUCUUUCAUAUAAAAGAGGUCCCAUAUAUUAAAAUAUAUAUAUAUUUCAAAUUAUUAGUCAAUACAACUAUUAAGAAUGCCUUUCUUUUUCUAAAAUUUACUUUUAUUGUUCCAAAUAUUGAAGUAUUGAAAAAUAUAUAGUAUUAUUUUAAAAUUGUGGUGGCCGGGGGAAAGGGAGAUGGGGGAACUGGGAAGGGAUCAUAAUGCGGAGAAUCGAAUCCUCACAACAAAGGUGGAAAUUUAGGUAACUCUCCAACUAAGCUACUAAAAUUUCAUGUAUUAAAGAAUAUGUAUGAUAAAUUUGAUAGGCAUUUUUAUAACUAAUACUACUUCAGUCUGUCCCAAUUUAUAUAAAAAUAUCUAAUUGCACGGUGGGUUUAAGAAUGAAAGAAUUUCUUUUUAUGAAAUAUGUUAUGUAUCUAAAUCAUCUCAUUAAUAUAUAUAUAUAUAUAUAUAUAUAUAUAUAAUAAGAAUAUGUUAUUUAUUUGAAUUGACUUAAAAAGAAGUGUCACAAAAAGUAAAAUAUACUAUAAGAUAUUAAAUUUUAAAGAAUAUAGGGAAGUUUUAAAAUGUUGCUCACACUCAAUCAAUCAUUUUAAUUAACCUUAGUUGAUUUAAUAUUAAAGUAUAUAUAUAUAAAAAAAAAUCACAAUUAAUGUCAAAAUUUGUGUAUAAAAAAUUCUUGUAUUACAUGAUUGAUCGGAUGUAAAUAGUGGCAAAUUUAUGCAUAAGAAAAUGGGUGACAUGAAUAUGUAAUAGUGCACAUGUUAUUUUGAAAUUUUGAAUUCGCCUCUAAAUAUGCGUCGUAAAAUAAUUUUUUCCACAAUAAUAUUUUUCUUGUAUCAAAUUAAAUAAAUAAGGAGUAAUAUUUUAAUCAAAUUGUUCUAUCAAACCAACCCCACCAACCCUACAACUCUCACCAUUGGGUUUUUUGAUAGGUCCACCUAACCUAAAUGUAAUAAACCACGUGAUAUUCAUUUUUUAAUUAAAAUUUAAAAAUAUUUGGAAGGAUAAACUAAUAAAUUAUUCAAUAGAAAAUUUUAUCCAUGACACAUGUCCAGAGUUGUUUCAAUCACCGACAGUCCCUUGUCCUUUUUUUUUUCUUAUGUUAAGUUGAUUUUUUCAAUGGAAUUUUUUUAUAAUAAUUGUGAUAAUACAAAUGUGGUCAAUGAACGAUAAGAGAAUAACCUUAUCUAUUUUUAUGUGAUAGGGCAACUAAGUUUUUUUUAAUCAAUUUUGUGUGUUGUAUAGUUGUUUCUUUCGUAAUCAGAUGUUUUGAGUUCGAAUCUUGGAUAUAAAUUUUUUUAGGAGGGUGUGCUAGCCUUACGCAACGUGAAUUCGGAUAAGUCAGCCUUUAAUAUAGGUAUCAAAUAUCGAUAAAAAAAACAGGAGAUAAUUUUCAAACCUAAUUUAGGUGAAAAGUAAUGAUGUCGGUAUUCUAAUUGAUGAUUAUAUAAUUUUAAUUAAUGGUUGUUGAAUGGUUACAAUUCAAUUGACAGUUUCUUCACUCUUAAUUAAUAAAACACUUGCAUGGUUUGACAAAAACAAUUAAGUAAAAGAAAUAUUAAUUAAGAAGGAAUUGACUUUCCAUAAUAGUGACAAUACAACAAUGAUUUACAUUAUGGAGUUGGAUAAUGCAAAUAGUAAAAAAGAAAAAGGUAACAAAUAAAUAUUUUGUACUUAAUUUGGUAAAGUGCAUUAAUGAACUUGAUUUUACUAUAAUUUUUAUAGAAUAUUCAAAAUCAUUAUCUUAGUGGAUCGCAACAUAAUCUAACUUUUGUCCUUAUAAUUAGUGGGGAAAUCUUAUACCUAACUAAAUUUAAAGUUUCAUUACUAAUAUUUAAUGUAAUCUCAUAAAUAAAAUUUCAAAAGAAUAAAUCUUAUCUUGUCAUUUUGUAGAGGUACAUUAUUUUCAAUAAAUUCUCAACUUAAAUAAAAUAUAAUUUCAUAAUCUUUAUAGAUAGUAUACAAUAAAGUAACGUUCAAUACGAAUGAUGAGCUAAAUAUGAUCUCAUAUUAAUGAGCAAAAACAAAUCUAAAAAUAUGAUUAACUAAGAAGUCACUUGUUAUGAGAAUAAAUUACACAAUAGAACCAUUACUAAAGAUAUUCAAAUUUCAAGAUUUUUAACAUUGACUUUAUUGUGAUAUUAAAAUAAUCCCUUUAGAUUUAAAUAUUUACUGACAUUUUAGUGUAUUUUUAUAAUGUAUUUAUACUUCAUAUAGUAAAUUAUAAAUUUAGAUGAAUUGUUAGUCGAAAAGUUACAUACGCCCCUUGCGCUUCCCAUAUGCCAAUGUGUACCUACAAAAUUCUCAAGUAUAAAUAAAAUAACAAACAAAAGAUUUUUGUAUCAUUAUUUGUCCUAUAUUGGGUCCAACUAAAUUCAAUUUAUGAGAAAUUACCUUAUUAGACAUACAUACGUAUCAUAUAUACUAGUUUUAUCUAUACUUUCAAAUAAGAGUUUUUUUUAAUCAUGUAUUAAUACACUUAUAUACAUAUAUUUUUGUUACCAGAUACACUAAAAUAGGAAGAGAGACGAGCGAGAUGGGGAGGGAGGAGAGUAUCUCAGAUACAUACGAAUCACACUAGAUAUAUGUAUCUGUACCAAAUACAUAAGAGAGUGUAGAGCGAGGUAGGAGAGAGACAAGUGGGAUUUGUUAUGUAUUUUAGAUACACGCGAAUCCACUUGGACACAAUAUAUCUAGAACAAAUUACACUUAAUUUUUAUCUCAUAUAUCCCGAGACAAAAGAAUCUAGACACAUCAAAAUCUAUGUGAUCUUCAACUUUAAGCAUGUAUAAGUAGACAUUUAAAUUAUAAUAAAAUUAAACAAGUAGACAUACACGAUUUACACAUAUCAAACAUGUUCUCUUGUAAACUGCGUUGUAAAUGUCAGCUGAGAUCAAAUUAAAUAUGGAAUAAAACAAAGAAAGUUAGAAAAUAUUUGGGGAAAACACAACCGUAGAAACACGCAAAGCCACAAUCUUUUGUUGCCUUUAAAAAGACCGAAAAGCUCACCAAUUUUCCUCUCCUUUCUUCCUCCUCUUCAAUUGGCCUCCUUGUUGCUCUCUCUCUCUCUCUCUCUCUCUUCUCCAUCUUUCAAAACCCGAAAAAGGGUUACUUCUUUCUUGACCCUUCGUUCAUUUUCUGUUAAUUUUUUGUAGGAUUUUAGGCUCAACUGAUACUAUUUUUGUGUAUAAGAAUCAUACUGGUUUCUUCACAAGUGGGGUUCGGUCUUUGUUAGUACGUUUCAAUACGGAGUUGGCGUCGGUGGGGGCAAACUCCUGCUGAUUCUCUGAUUUAUUCCAUUUGGGGUUGUUGAGAUUUGUUUUAUUUUUGGAUAUUUUUUAUCUGAUCUUCUGUUUAAGAUCAGGGGAACCUAGAGAAGAAAAGGGUAUCCUAAGAUAUCCUCUUUUUUUGAAUUUAUUCGUUGCCCAGAUUGUUUAAAGUCUUCAAAAAGAUGCAGCAAGAUCAGCACAAGAAGGUUUCUUUCUUUCUUUAUCUUCCUCUUUGAAAUUCUUUAAUAAAAAGGAGAUCUUGAUUGAGAUUUCUUAUUUCGAGCUUUUAAGAUUUGAGGGUAUCUGGUAAAGAACCCUAAUUUGCCUUAAAAGACGAGUCAUUAUAGCCAAAGUUGAUUGAUUGAGUCUGCUGUGAGGAUUAUAUAACUGUUUGUUUGUUUGAGGAAGCAUGAAGUUGUUGACUAAUUUUAGCUGCUAAUGGAGGACUAAGUUAUUUGAUUAUCUGAAAUUUUAGUAAUCUUCUAACCAUAUGAAGUUGUUGACUAAUUUAGGCUGUUGUUUAUUUAGAAUAUAUUAUUUAACAGAGAUGGAGAAUUUGCAUAUGAAGGACUAAGUUGUUUGAUUAUCAGAAAUUUUAGUAAUCUCUUAACCAUAUGAAGUUGUUGACUAAUUUUAGCUGCUAUGUAAAGUAUUUAGAAAUGUAGGUAGGUAACUCAUUAAACAGAGAUGGAUGAUUUGCAUAUGGAGGACUAAGUUAUUUUAGUAAUCUUUAAGCAUAUUGCCAAUUAACAUACUUGUGAAAAUGCCCUUGUGGGGUAAAUUGUUUCGACUUUUUUGUAGGGCAGCAUUCUUAUUACUUUUCUUUCAUAGUUUUGAAAUGUUCUUUGUUUUCCUCUGCUUUUCUUCCUUUACUAGAUUCUGGUCUUCUACUUCAUGCUAACUGCUGUGUUAGUUUGAAAUGUAAUCUGAUGUUGUAGUCCUUUGCUCGGGCCUCGUUUGACUCUGAAAUAGUAUUUCGUGGUUGUCUAGUCUGAUUUUCAAAUUGGAAUGUAUUGUCUAUUCAAGUCAUAACUUAAUCCUUGAUUCUCUUUAUGUUACAACAGAAGUCUACUGAUCUGAAUUUAAGUGAUACUGCAUCAACAUACACUUUGAGAAUAUCAAGCAACAUGCAGAUUUUAUCUUAUAUUUAGUUUGCCUAUUAUGUCAGUAGACUAUUGUAAACAUGUCUGAGUUUUUGUUACUGAUUGUACAGAGUUCCAAAGAAGUGGAGUUCUUCACUGAGUAUGGUGAUGCUAAUAGGUAUAAAAUUUUGGAAGUUGUAGGCAAGGGAAGUUAUGGAGUAGUUUGUGCUGCAAUUGACACUCAUACAGGAGAGAAAGUGGCUAUAAAGAAAAUAACUGAUAUUUUUGAGCACAUUUCUGAUGCAAUUCGAAUUCUGCGUGAAGUCAAAUUGCUUAGACUUCUAAGGCAUCCUGAUAUUGUUGAAAUUAAGCGAAUCAUCUUACCACCUUCAAGACGAGAGUUCAGAGAUAUUUAUGUUGUUUUUGAGCUUAUGGAGUCUGAUCUUCAUCAUGUUAUUAAGGCCAACGAUGACUUGACACAUGAGCACCACCGUUUUUUCCUGUAUCAGAUGCUGCGUGCAUUGAAGUUCAUGCACACAGGUAAAAGUCUUGUGAAUUCGGUAACUAUAGGUAUUAUGAUAUCUGCCAUCAACUUCUCCUAAGGAUGUUUAUUUUCAGCCCUGUUUUGACUGACACAUAUAUAUAUAUAUAUAUAUAUUCAUUUCAGCUAAUAUGUACCAUCGAGAUCUUAAGCCAAAAAAUAUAUUGGCAAAUGCAAAUUGUAAACUCAAAAUAUGUGAUUUUGGAUUGGCAAGGGUUGCAUUCAGUGAUGCUCCAACCACAAUAUUUUGGACGGUAAGCUUUCGUGUUAGUCCUAUGCCAAAAGCCUUCUAUAAGAUUUACUUGGAUUUAGUUUAAAUCAUAGAAAGCUUUAUAAGAUGGACAUUUUCAUUCAUUUUAAUCUUUGAUUUGACUGAAAUUUUCUUAUUUUUUGUCUUCUUCUGAUACAUCAUGCAGGAUUAUGUUGCUACAAGGUGGUACCGUGCACCAGAACUAUGUGGGUCUUUCUUCUCUAAGGUAAUUUAUGUGAAUAGCGUGCAGCUUAGCUUAUUUUAACUUUCAUGUAAAAGAUACUUUUUGUUUUGAACCUUAUCUAUGAGUUCCAUUCUAGAACUUCAUGUUAGUGGUUCUUCUAAUAGAUCAAAAUACUUUUUUGUCAAAAGAUAUGUGAAACUACUUCUCAAUUUUCCCAACACCCUCCCUUGGGGAGCCGUACCAGAAAAAAACCAACUCAUUGCAAAGGGUGUUGUAAAUGAGUAGGUAUUAGACACAAUUGUGUUUAUGCUCCAUUUAUCUCUCAAACAAAUGUAGGGUCACACAGUUAUAGUCAUCAAUUAGUUAGCCACUUUCUUGCUAGCCCAUGCAUAGUCACAGAACAUAUUCACGCCUAUUUUUGCUGGAUUCAGUUAUUAAGAUUCUUUUUUUGGCAUCAUAUAAAGCCUCCCUUUUCCCAUGCUUUAGAAAGGUGAAAAGGUACUUGUAUACAUAGUGUUAAAAGGAAGGGCUUUCUGGUUAGAAUAGAAGAUUUUUGUUCAGUUCUGAGUGUAUUAAAUAGUGAUGUGUAGGUUGAAAUCAUUCUUGUUCAGGGAGGACUAUUGAACUCUCCUGGACGUUGAUUUUUCUAUUCUUCAGGUAACUGUGUUAGGUCUUGCGUCAAUUUCUCAGUAAGGCCUUACUGAGGUUUUUGCUGAUUUGUCUUCUAAUUCGUGUAUGAAUUCCCUGCAGUAUACACCUGCUAUUGAUAUCUGGAGCAUCGGGUGCAUUUUUGCAGAGGUUUUGACGGGGAAACCAUUAUUUCCGGGCAAAAGUGUUGUUCACCAGUUGGAUUUGAUUACUGAUCUUCUAGGGACGCCAUCAGUUGAUAUUGUAUCUGGGGUAAGAGCUGUCAGUUAAUUUUUUUUUUGCUGAUGUUAGCAUUGCCUGACAGCAUGUUGAUAGAAGAGUACUCCUCUUGAGUGCAGGUUCGUAAUGAAAAGGCAAGGAAGUAUUUGACAGAUAUGAAGAAAAAAAGCCCAGUUCCUUUUACUGAGAAAUUUCGAAAAGCAGAUCCUUUGGCACUUCGACUGUUGCAGAGGUUGUUAGCAUUUGAUCCAAAGGAUCGCCCAACUGCUGAAGAGGUACACUCCCUCAUAUAUUCCUGAUGUUAAGAUUACGUGAAUGACAUCUCCACGUGCUUGUCCGUUUCUAAUUUCAUUUUCAUUUUUUGUGUUUUUCCUCCUAUCUUUUAGGCUUUGGCUGAUCCGUACUUCAAGGGACUGGCCAAGAUUGAGAGGGAACCUUCUAGUCAACCAAUCUCGAAGCUGGAGUUCGAGUUUGAGCGACGAAGGGUCACAAAGGAUGACAUCCGUGAACUAAUAUUUAGGGAGAUACUAGAGUAUCAUCCUCAACUUCUGAAGGACUACAUGGCUGGAAAUAGUGGUGCAAAUUUUCUCUAUCCUAGGUUGUAAUAUACUUCUCUACUAUUUCUAGUCUCUAUUUUCUUGUACCACUAUAUCAUUACUGACUGACGGUGCGACAAUCAUUGAAUUGCAGUGCCAUUGGUAAUUUCAGAAGGCAAUUUGCUUAUCUAGAGGAGAAUAGUGGUAAAAGUGGCCCAGUAAUACCUCCUGGUCGAAAGCACGUCUCUCUCCCGCGGUAUGAUUCCAUGAGUUGUUUGUCUUGUUGGUUGUGUCAAUGAAUAUGUCCUGUUCCUUAUGUUUUAUGCUUCUCUUCACUUUAUCUUCCCAAAAAAGAAGUUUUUGUUUGUUCUUGUAUUUGCUGGAUAAGUAACCUGACUGAAAAGAAGUUGUACUUGCUUACUCCCGAGGAAGUUUGGAUUUGGAAUAUUAACUUGUUCAUCACAUUGGAAAAACUGUUACCUUAGAGCAUUCCCCUUUUCCCUUUUGCUCUCUCCUUUCCUUUUUCAGUCUGCUUAUUUGGGGUUUCAUUACAUAUAUUCUUAAAUGUGUUACAGAUCUACUGUAAAUUCCAGUACCAUCCCCCCCAGAACACAGCAGAAUCCUAUGUUUGAUCAUAGGCAAGUAACAGAAAAGGCAACUGCUGGCGUCAGAGUCUCAGACCCGAAGGUUUUGCGACCACCACCUCGAGUACCCACAGGUAAGGUUGACAUUGUCUGUGCUGGCACUCAUAGUGAUAAUGUACCUUUUUGUCAACAUCUUCAAAGUGAACUCAAAUAUUUCACCACAUGUAAUACAUUGGACGAACUGGAACUCAGUACUCAGCUCAGGAGAAGGCUAUUUAGGGAAUCUUCUUAAGUUAUAUCCCCCUUGCGUGUGGAAGAGAGUGUGCGUGUGGGGGUGGGGGGGGGGGGGGGCAAAUAAGGAGGGGGGGGGNNNNNNNNNNNNNNNNNNNNNNNNNNNNNNNNNNNNNNNNNNNNNNNNNNNNNNNNNNNNNNNNNNNNNNNNNNNNNNNNNNNNNNNNNNNNNNNNNNNNNNNNNNNNNNNNNNNNNNNNNNNNNNNNNNNNNNNNNNNNNNNNNNNNNNNNNNNNNNNNNNNNNNNNNNNNNNNNNNNNNNNNNNNNNNNNNNNNNNNNNNNGGGGGUGGGGGGGGGGGGGGGGGGAGCAAAUAAGGAUGAGGAGUGAUCAUAUUUAAAGGUGCCCUAAUGAGUAUAUACGGAAUGCUGAAAGUUAGGAAGUGUUGUAUGCUUGUUGGAAUCGCUUUUAAUGUCCUUGUCAAAUAUUAGUGAUAGUGGGUUGUGCAUGUCUGUUUGUUUGAUUCUUCUUUAAUAUUCAUUUCUAUCAUUUUCAGCCAAACCUGGAAGAGUUUUAGGACCAGUUUUAUCAUAUGAUGGUGACAGAAGCAUCAAAGAAGUCACUGAUGGAAGAGUAUAUCCCCAGAACUCUGUUGUCCAACCUCAUGGCAUGUCUCCACAUUAUCUGUUCAGAAGUAACUCUACACAUCUAGAGAGGUGUGGGACAGAAGCAGAGAAGGACCGCUCUCAAGUUAAACCGCAACAUGGCCAGUGCAUGGCUGCCAAGUCGUCCGCUAGUAUGAGUUUCGAGAUGAGCACUAACCCAUAUUACCAUACACAGGCAAGGGUAGCACAGUUGGGAGGUCAAAUCGCCAUGGAUGCAAAACUACUACAGGCACAAACACAGUUUGGUGCAGUCGGUGCUGCAGCUGUUGCUGUUGCCGCUCACAGAGAGGUUGGCACUGUUCAGUAUGGUCUAACCUAGUAGAUACUAUUGUUUGAUGGUUCUUUGAAUCAAGUGAGGACAUCCCCCUUGCAGUGAGACAGUUCAAGAUGUGCAUUUUCCCUCAGAUCAAUCAGCAUGGGAGAUCUGAAGAGGGAUCUGUUAACCCGGUAGAUGAAAACCAUUUAUUAGUCGUUAGGGUCUCUAAAUAGGUAUUCUUUAGGUUCAGGUUGCCCUGUUGAGUUGGUAUUUAUGCCCCCUUGUAUGUGUAUAUAUAUAUAUAUAUAGCCUAUGCAUCAUUGAUAUUAAUGAAGAAAAAAAUUGUUCUUCUGACUUCCUUUCCUUAACUCUUCAUAUUUUAUGCGUGAUAGAAGAAAGAUUCCAGAGAAAAAAGGAACUCAUUUGAAACAAUGAGCAACAAAAGAGAGCAAGAGAUUGAUAACAUAAAUAUAAAUGAACUAAAAGUGUAUUUGCUUGCUAAAGACGGAUCAACAAAGAUGGUGUACACAGACUUUUCACCUCUGCGUUGGAAGUGAGAGGUGGUCUCACAGUUCAAAUAGUAUGGAAAAAGAAAUAACAACAGUGAAGAAGCCAUUGUGUGUGUGUGUGUGUAUUUGGAGUACCAUCCUUGUGCUUUUAUUGAUUGAUACUCUCCAGAAUUGAUUCAUCUUAAAUGGGGAAUCAGUAGAAGAAGAUCCUACUGAGUGGAUUUCAAAUAAACAAUUCAACUACUAUCUGUUCAUCCUGUUAUGUAACAAAAUAUUUAUACCUAAACUUAUGGAUGACCAAUAUUUCUUUGCUGGUGCGGAAAUACUUGGAUUGACAGUAUAUCCAGGCAAGUUUAUGUACACCUCGCCUCGAUGAUAAGCACAGUUAAGCCAAUGAAAACUCAGUAUUUCACCUUUUCAUUCAUCAUUUCUGAGGAAGAAUUUUACUGCCUUAUAACCUUAUCACAUGACUUUAUGCAUAGAUGAUUGAAUAUACAAUAUAAUAAGAACAUUUAAUCAUUAACAUUAGAUUUUACUGUUCAGAUUUUGGCACAUUUGCUUGUUAACAGUUUAGAUCUGGCAAUGGGAUAAUUCCUUCAUAGAUUGUGAUCAAAGCUUUUGUUGGUAACUAAGUGAUAUUUCAUAAACAUAAACAAAAGAAUCUCCAAGCCUUGAGAGUUUCACUUGUGUAUAAAGUGAAACAAGCAAAGAGAAAAGAAACAAAAAAAAUACUCUAUUCCUAACUAAAAGUGAAACUAGCAAAGAGAAAAAUGAAACUAUUCAUCUGUCACAAUGAUAUCAAAGUCGCUAAUGACCCACUCAGCAAGUUGAUUGCUGCUAACAUAUAUCUCAGUUCCCAAAUCAAUAGAUGGCCAAUGCCUCUCAGCUGGUUUAGUAAAUGGAUCCUGCAAUAUCACCCAAGAAACAAUGUUACAAUUCAUCUAGGGGUUAAUGCAUUCUUAUUUUUCAGGUACGUUACCUGUAGUUAUCUUUUAGGCAGUCUAAUAGUGUGUGGAGAAGUUAAACGCGUCAAAAUAUAGUCAAGUACCUGAUAGAAGUAAAGUGAUUGUGAGAGUCUCCCGACAUCAAGUUCCCAAGUUCUUGGAUCACCUAUCCAUCCUUCCCCUUUCUUAGUUGGAUAUCCAUAUUCACCCCAAACAGGGUGAGGCAGAAUUUGAAGUAUUUCCUGAGCUUGAGGGUUGCUAUAUUCAUCACAGUGAUUGAAUGGUUCCUCAAGAUACAUUCCGUUGCCCGGGGAGCAAUGCAUAUGAUAAGCAUCAUAGGGAAAUCUUGCCUCAUCAGUACGAUGAACUCGAGUUCCAUUUGCAAAAGUAUGGUAAAUUGGGCACAACUUCAAAUUCUCCUUGGGGUUGCACCCUGGUGAUACAGUAUGAAUAUCAGGAUUGAUGAUCAUUUCACUGUAACGCGUUACGUCUGUGGUGACAUCCCCAUCACAAGGCUGACCAUUGUUCUUCCAGCAGCUACCUAUGUCCAUUAGAUAGAAUUGGCUUCUUGGACCACCUCCUUUUAUCACAUCUAGUGUGAACCUCACUUUGAAAUUUGGUGACUUUGGAACCUAAUUCCAUAUCAGCAAACAGAACAUCAGAUUGUAUAACAAGAAAACUACUACUACUACUACAACAACAACUAUGACUCAAUCUCAAUCAAGUUGAGGUCAGCUGGGAUCGGCUAUAUGAAUCUCAUUAUACAUGUCGCUCCAUUUAAGAUCGUCUCUAUGUGUGUAUGUGUGUAUUAUACAGAACUUCUCUAUAUUUUGACAAGAGAAAGACUCCUGGCAAGCAUUGGACCUAAAGUAAAUGUACUAACAUGACUAAAACAUAAUCACAGCUAAUUGGUAUCAGCCAUUAUACAUCAUUUUCCACCAUUUUUCGCAACGUUUACAUGGAUUGUAGGUCUUAUUCAAGAUAUUGUAUAACAAGAAUAUGAUAACGACGAUUAGGAAGAGAAACUUACUAUUUUUGACAUGCCUCUUGUUUCAUAAUGAUAUCCACCAGAAAAUCCAGUAGUUGCAUCAGACCUCAAGUAAAGCAUCAACCAAGGGUACUUUGAUGAAGUCUUCAACACAUGAUGAAAUUUCCAGCUUCCUUUUCCAAGAAUCUUAUGCCAAGUAACAGAGAAAAAUGAAGUAUCAUUCCGAGUCUUCGCUGUACUCAUAUCAGCAUCCAAUUCCCAUGUCCCAUGAAACCCCCCCUUCAACUUAGUCACCUUUGGAUGUUUCCUAUGACUAUGCUUCAACUUAGUCACCUUUGGAUGUUUCCUAUGACUAUGCUUCAACUUAGUCACCUUUGGAUGUUUCCUAUGACUAUGCUUCAACUUAGUCACCUUUGGAUGUUUCCUAUGACUAUGCUUCAACUUAGUCACCUUUGGAUGUUUCCUAUGACUAUGCUUCAACUUAGUCACCUUUGGAUGUUUCCUAUGACUAUGCUUCAACUUAGUCACCUUUGGAUGUUUCCUAUGACUAUGCUUCAACUUAGUCACCUUUGGAUGUUUCCUAUGACUAUGCUUCAACUUAGUCACCUUUGGAUGUUUCCUAUGACUAUGCUUCAACUUAGUCACCUUUGGAUGUUUCCUAUGACUAUGCUUCAACUUAGUCACCUUUGGAUGUUUCCUAUGACUAUGCUUCAACUUAGUCACCUUUGGAUGUUUCCUAUGACUAUGCUUCAACUUAGUCACCUUUGGAUGUUUCCUAUGACUAUGCUUCAACUUAGUCACCUUUGGAUGUUUCCUAUGACUAUGCUUCAACUUAGUCACCUUUGGAUGUUUCCUAUGACUAUGCUUCAACUUAGUCACCUUUGGAUGUUUCCUAUGACUAUGCUUCAACUUAGUCACCUUUGGAUGUUUCCUAUGACUAUGCUUCAACUUAGUCACCUUUGGAUGUUUCCUAUGACUAUGCUUCAACUUAGUCACCUUUGGAUGUUUCCUAUGACUAUGCUUCAACUUAGUCACCUUUGGAUGUUUCCUAUGACUAUGCUUCAACUUAGUCACCUUUGGAUGUUUCCUAUGACUAUGCUUCAACUUAGUCACCUUUGGAUGUUUCCUAUGACUAUGCUUCAACUUAGUCACCUUUGGAUGUUUCCUAUGACUAUGCUUCAACUUAGUCACCUUUGGAUGUUUCCUAUGACUAUGUAAUGUGCUAUAAUCAUGGUAUAUCCUAGGCAUAUUCAUGCAACCUUUCCCAAAACACGGAAAUCGCGGUAUUUGAGCAAAUGGUUGAGAUGGUAUGCCAUUUCUGGGACAAAUUGCUGCUGUUGUGUCCAUGUUGCCACUCUUGAGCAUGAUCAUCCAAAAAUUCCAUGGUUUUGGCUCAUCUUGAACUUUGCAUUUGUAUCCUAAGAACAAUUCUUUCCAAGCUGCAUACAUAUCCACAUUCAGGUAGUAUUGUCCUAAGCUUUUGGCAUCAUGUAUACUUAGUUUGUUAUCAAGCUCAUUCACCAAGUGAACCAGCUUUGCUGCAAGAUCAAUAUUUUUACUGUUACUGAUUUCUAUAAAGAAAAUCAAAAGCAUAAUAACUUGCAACAGACAGCAAAAGAAAAGAGGUUAAUAUACUUUUUGACAGUAUAAUAAGUUCAAUGUUAAGAAUUCUAAAAGUCGAAUCCAUUAAAUUAAAUCCUGAAUCCGCCUCUACCACAGUUCUAACUCGAAACCUUUAAUUAAGGAACAUUAACUGUAUAUUAUUCUAUGCCUCACACAUCUAACACUCACAUGAGCCACAAAAUAGUUUUUUAACUAAAGGUGUUAGAUUCGAGUUAUGUGGGACCUUGACCAUGCGAAUACCGAACAUCAGAUGGAAAAGAAAAAGUAAUAUUGUAUAUUGACUUACUCCUAUUAUUUGAUUUUUGGAGAUCAAAACAAUCAGCAUGCCUAGGACUUCCCAUAUUGGGAGCUUCUUCAUACACUUCAUUACACUGAUUCCAUGCCUCUAUAGCAACUCUUAAAUUAUCCCUUCUCAUACCUGGAUCUCCAAUUGCUGAUUUCACUUCGAAACUACAUGAUAAUCUAGCAAAAAAUACAACUAAAACUACUUGAAAAAUCACCCAAAAUCUCAAACGUGAAGCCAUGUUGUUUUUCAAUAUUUUCAUCAUUGUUAAAAUAAAAAAAAAUACUAACCCCAUUAUAUAAGGUUGGUAAAGUGUUUGAUUUGGACAAGAAGUUAAUUUGUAAGUUUUAUCCAAAUUGAGAUUUCGUAAAUAUUGUCAUAUUAUCUCAAUGUUAGAAUCCUUUAUAGAGUCAAAUAACAGUCUUCUCUUGUAUGAAAAAAACAAGUACUAGUAAUAAUAAUAACUGAGAAAUUUCGAAGUAUGAUAAAUACAAAAAAAAAGAAAAAAAGAUUACAAAUUUUAAUUAUCAUAGAAUACUAUUGCCUAUCAACUACUCUAAUACUACCUAAAAACUAGGAUUCUCUUUUUUGGUGCAACACAUUGGAGCUCCGACUAAAUUCGGAUUGCUCACUUCAAAGCCCAUUCACGACAAUCCCAACAGAAUUUUCCCCAUACUCAGAACUCGUAGUCCACCACUACACCACAAACCAUGUUGGUAAAAAAUAGGAUUCUCAUUCUUCUCUUGGCACAAUCUUGAACUUCCCAGUUUGUUGUUGCUGCAAUACAAACCCAAAAAUUAUUGUUUACGCAAAAAAUUAACUUUUAUGACAGUAAAACACAACUACUAAUUUUAAAUACGAGAUCAUAUACAGAAGAAGCAGAUCCAAAAUUUAAAUUAUAUAGGUUCAAGAAUCCAAGUUUUAAAUACUUAAAUACAAAUCUAAGCUACAAUUAUAGCAACGAGUUCAUUUAAAUCCAAUAUUUUCUAUAAGUAGCACAAAUUUAUGUGAAAAAAAUACACUUAAAAUUGAAACUAAUAGUCUAUCUAAACCUACAACUUUAGAAAUAGCACGUUAAAUAUUGAAUCAAUAAAGUUCCAAUUUUGAAUCCGCAUCUGCACCUAAGAUAACUAAAGGCAAGUUAAUGUAUAUAAGUUAAAUCCGAGCACGAAAAAAUUGAAAAAAAGGGUAAAAAGAUUCAACCUUUUUCCAUAGUUCAGUAUGGCUACUGCAAAAUCCAGCAACAACACCGCCAUUUUUACGUCGUUCUGUGUACUCAAUGCAGAGAUCACGUUUCAACCCACAAGUAACAUGGAAAGACAAAGGGCAUUUCGGCUCAGAACAAUCAAUAGCACAUCCUUUUUUGGAUUUACAAAUGUAACACUUUUUUUCCCAUCUUCUUUUAGGAACUUUGCUGAAAUCAAUUCCUUCACGACCUUCUGGAUCGACGAAGAAAACUUCGGGAACAAAUAGUGAACAAACAACAUGAGCCCAUUUACCUUCAUUCACAGUAGAUUUCAAUGCGCCCCCGGAUUCAGGACAGAGACAACAGGUAAAGGAUUUUGGGUUUGGGAUCUCUGAUUUUGAGGCUAAACAUUGAGCACAAAACCAAUCGCCUUCUGGGAUUCCAUCUGUAAAAGGAUGACCGUAACAAGAUGUAUGAACCAUCAAAUCACAACCGUCACACAAAACGAUUGGAUCUGAUGGAUCUCCGUCUGUGCUAUUACAAAUAACACAAACAAUCCCAUCAUCGUCAUCCACAUCAAUGUCAUCAUCUGUUGUUAUCUCAACUAAUUUUUCUCCCUUGAUUUCAUCAUCAUUAAAACAAACUGGGUUAUACUCCUCAUUGAGGUCAAAUGGAUGAAAAGCCCAAACACGUUUCUUCGCGGGCAAACAGAGAGUAGUAACAGUGCUGUUAUUCGUAAAAGGUGGAGGAGUUUCUGGAGAGAAUUUUCGCUUUUUAGCAGGAAGUUUUGAUGAUGAGACAGAUCCAUUUUGUUUUUGAUCUUGUUGAUGCAUCAACAUGAAUCUUUUGGUUGGAGGUAAAACCUGAAGUUUGCCACCCAUUGUUUUCUUUUUUUAGAAGAUUGUGUGAGGAUGAGAUGUGGAAGAAGAGGGAAAAGGGGAUUAUGAAGUAGAGAAAAUUUGGAAAAAAAAAACCCGGGAGGAUUAGCAGUCAAAUUAUUUGAGUUUUUGAAAAUUCUGAAUUUCUGCCAUUGAUUUUGAACUUUUGCAGUUUCACUUUAGCGGGAAGUUUGAAGGGAAUGGCUCCAAAGUUUAGAAUUUUGCGCCAAUUUCUGCGCAAUAAAACGACGUGGUUCUCCCUUAUUACUAUUAUUUUUUAGAUAAGUAUUGAAAACAUUUCUAAAUUUCAUGCAAAUUAUUAAAUUCAUCUGUGAAUUAUUGAUAACUUUAAAAACACUUUUUUAUUUAACUAACUGAAUUAAUGGGAAAAUUGUAUAUAAUAGAAAACUAUUAAUUCAAAUUAAAUGCUAUAAAUAUAGUUUGAUUUAAUUGUACCCCAUAGCAAACUGUUGCUAUUUCGCCUCUCUCCAGGUGAAUCUCGCUCGCCACUCUCGUUCUCUCCCUCUUCUCUCUCACUUUUUAUACAAACGCAAAUGUAUAAAAUGUGUUUCUAUUUGUAUAAAGCGAGAGAAAAUUGUAUAUAUACAUAUAUUUUCGUUCCCCUCGCUCGCCACUCUCCCAGAUCUAGCUCGUUCACUCGCCUCUCACUUUAUACAAAAACACAAAUGUAGAAAAUGUGUUUGUGUUUGUAUAAAGCGAGAGAAAAUUGUAUAUAUACAUAUAUUUUCGUUCCCCUCGCUCGCCACUCUCCCAGAUCUAGCUCGUUCACUCGCCUCUCACUUUAUACAAAAACACAAAUGUAGAAAAUGUGUUUGUGUUUGUAUAAAGCGAGAGAAAAUUAUAUAUACAAAUUUUCUUUUGUAUAUGUAUAACGAAAUUAUACAACUGCUCUCUUUUGUAUAUGUAUAGCGAAAUAUACAUAUUUAUGUUUGUUAUGAAGCGCAAUUAUGCAAACUAUAGCUAUAGCAUACAAAUAUGAUUUUAUGUUUGCUAUAUGUGAAAGUUAACACAUAAAAUUAAAUUGAGAGACUCUCAACGAUUUAUACAAACGAGAAGCUGACAACAAUUUAUACAAAUGACCUGCUAGCGAAAUUAUACAAAUCUGAAGAGGAGCCAGCGAAUUAUACAAUUGCUUCUUUUGUAUAUAUGUAUAGCGAAAUAGCCUAGUCAUAGCAUGUUUGCUAUGGAGUGCAAUUAUGCAAACGUUGCUAUAGCAUACAAAUAUGAAUUUUGUGUUUGCUAUAUGUGAAAGUUGUUCUAUUAUACCCUAAUCUUGUAACAUGAGCGAAAUAUACCUUUAAGUUUUUGCCAAGUUAUGAGGUGUUUCAACAAUUCUUUCGGAUUUUUUUAUUAAGAGUCUCAUGCUCCUACAAAAGUUUGAAACCACUUGUUAUAUUUUGUGGUAAAUCGAGAUGUAUUAAAGUUUAGUUAGUCAAAUAGAGAAGUAUUUCUAAAACUGUCAAUAGUUCGGGAAUGAAACUAAUAAUUUAGCCAAGUUCAAGAAUGUUUUCAAUACUUCUCUCUUUUUAUUUUGCACGCCCUAUAAAAUAUACUGAUUUAAAUAAGUAUUUUAUCACAAUAUUCAUAUUAAUUGAUGUUUAAUUUUUUUUAAAAUAUUUUGAAAAAUAAGUAAUUAAUGUUGAGGAUUAAAUAGGGAAAAAAAAUAUUCUCUUCAUGUGUUAAAGUAUAAAUGUAUUUUUAGUAUAGAAGACGAAUAAAAAUGAACGGAAGAGUAUUUGGCUAAAUUAUUUACGUACCAUUUAAUGUGAUAAACGAUUUUAUGUUUCUUUUCGAACUUGGUUAAACUUCUUAGAAAAUUACACAGAUCAUUUAUUGGAGUAAAUAGUCUGAGAAAAAAGAAUAAUUAUUGCCUUUUUGGUUUUCUAAAGCUGAGGACUGUUACGCGAUAUUUAAGAUUGCUUGAAAAAACAAAAAAGAAAUAUCAUGUAUUAAUAAAUUUGUAAAAGAUUAAUAACGAGAUAAUCAUAUUCAACAUCUUUCAUCCCAUUUCAAGUGUUUUAUGUCAACAUUGAUGGUUUUUAAAACCAUAUAUAAAAUAUUAGUACAGUAAGAAAUUUUUUGAUAAUCAGAUUUGACUAUUUUUGAUUGCCAACAAGGUAGCAUAAUUAAUUUGGGGAAAAGGGAGUAGGACUGAAAAAGGAGCCACAAAAUAGCAUCACAAUUCACAAGGAAAUAUAAAUAUUCCCAGCAAUUUGUUCAGAAACAAGUAGUGCUGGAAAAUCCACAUUGCUGUUAACUGCUACACUUGAUAGCACAAGUUGCAAAAUACUAACUGAGAUAAAUCAAUUGCCCUGCCAGACUGAAUAUAAGUACCACUUUAGCCGCGGGAUUCUGCCUGUUGCAUACAACAAACAAAACUUUCUUUAGAUGAUAUGCAAAAACAAACAACACUCUUCUCGUGCAUAUACCAGUUCAAGUUAUCUCAAACAUUGGUGUAGAUCUAAAAGCCAGACACACUAAGGUCUUUUCAGCAUGAAGGAGAAGAAGAGUAUGAUAUCUUGAAUUCAUGAGCACAACUACCCCUCCCCGACCAACAAAAAGAAAGAAGAAGAAGAAGAAGAGCAACCACAAGUCGUAAUCAUAAGAAAAUGACUCACUUAAAAUCAUAUCUAAAGAAAAUAAUAAGAUUGGAGAGAAGUCGCCUCAGUUAACUUUUAUAAGAAUCCAUGCAAAAAGAACAAUACGAGCAACAGAACCAGCUUGCAUUGACUCAAAACAGUGUUAGUACGCUUACAUUACAUCCUGUGUUUGCCAACGAUUUCCUAGUUUAUUUUGAGAUUUGCAUGUCAAUAGGCAUAAGUAGGAAACCCCUUGUGUUACAAAAUCUCUAAUUUUUGUCUUAAAAGAUACAUCAGAUAUAGAGGAUUCAAACAACCAACUCGAGCCUGUGUGGGAUAGAAGUUUAGGUGUUAAUUUAAUGGAAGAAAAAAAAAUGACUACUACAGAAUUUGAUGAAACAGCUUGGCAUUUCGACCAACUUUUUCAAGCUAUAAUUUUGCAACUGAGAACCUAGUUAGUCUGACUUAAUACGUUCUCCAUAAAAGAUACUUUUGGUGGGAAGUGUACAAAACAAAAUACUUCCUUAAAGUAAUCUUCCAGAGUGGUUGAAUGUAAAGAUCACUAAUUCACUAGCUCAUAAUGAAUGAUCAAUGUGGUGAUAAGGAAUCCAUAAUGGUGUUAAGUUAUGGUCAUUUGUAGUAAAGAGUAGAGUAAAAGCAAUAUUUAAAUGGUAGUGGAUCAUUUUAUGGAACAGAGGUAUUAAAGAAGGAAGCAAGAAUUGACUUUCCCUCCUACAUGUAUCUCUUCCCCACAUUUGUUGCCAAACUUUUCCAUGAGGAAACCAUUAUGUAAAGUCCAAGACAACCAAAGUUCACAAUUACUUCAUCAAUAAAAACAUGUUGUCUUAAUAAAUAGGGCCUAAAUAUUGCAAUGUUUCUGUUAUUAAAGGCUAAAGAGAUCCAAAAGAAAAUCACAAAGAUAAAGAGGAGAAAACUAGUCUUAGAACGUUGCUAAAUUACUUAAAAAACAAGCGGUCAUCUGAUAAAAGUACUCAUUUGGAUAAUGAUAAGUAAACACUCACCCGAAAAUUUCAUGCUCGUGUCAUCGAUGAACUCGUUUAGACAUUGGUUAAAACCUGGAAUUAAAAGAAAGAUUAGAAUAUGAAUUACAAGGAUAGGUCCUAAAAAGUAGCAUAUUUCAUUAUAUGAAUCAAAGACACCUUUGAAAACCUAAAAAAGAGUACAUUGCCUUCAAACCAUGAGACCAAAUAAACAGUGGCUUGAACUACAAACUAGGUUUCGCAGAAUCAACAAAGCAGUAGAACGGAGUAACAAAUAUCAAGAAGUACUUGCACUACUUGAGCAAGAAAAACAAUCUCGUAGCAACACAGCUAGAUUAUCUCCCAAAAUUCAACCCCAUACAAUUCUCCUUCUUUUCAGUUAAUUUUUUCCUUUCCAACUCAAUUUAGCUUCAGUUUUCUGAUGUCUGUCAGCAUCUUUACUAAUUAAGAAUGAAAAGAAUUCACCCUUGUUGAGCAUGUAGAUUAUUCACCCUUGUUUUUGAGAUGGGGUGCAGCAAUGGGUUGAACAGUAUGGUUUCUAGGAGGAAAGUUAUGGCGGUAAAGUUGCCAUCCCAGAGCACUCCGUCUGUCCACACAUGAGUUCAGAUGUACAUGGUUUCCUGGGCCUGUGUCCUAUAGAAUAUCACAAUGUACUAACAGGUAAGAGCACUUCAAAAUGUUUACCUUUAAACCCAAUUUAAGGUCAUACUUGGAACUUGGAAGAGCUCCUGGCUAACUUAAAACUCCAUCUUGGGUUAGUGAAUUAUCGUAAAUCUCAUAUUUCCAUCCACAAGUGCAAGUUCAUACAGAAACUGCAACUCCUCCCAGCAAAUAUAAGGGAAUGAGAACGGAUCACAACAAACGCUACUAGAAAGCUACCAUAUACCACAUUUGAUUGAAGUUAUUUUGGCACACAAAGCAUAGCAGAAUGGCCCUCUGUACCUAGUCAACUUUGAUACACCAACACAGUACAAGAACAAGUGCUUAUCACAAAUUUGCAAACAGACUUUGAGCCCCAAAUACUUGAAUGCCCGUUUAAGUCAAAAGUCAUCAAGAUUUUAUAAGAUAAGAUGGUAAAAGUAAAAGAGGUAAUAAGCUGAUAAGAUGGUAAAGGUAAAAAGGCACAUGGAAACUGCAAUAAGCUACUGAACUAGCUCUAAGAAAAGUGUCUGCCUUACCAGCUAAACUAAUUUACGACAUCUAAUUACAACACAUACAUGUACAGAAAAAAUCAAUAUCCGUUUAGCAGAGAGACAGAAUAUAACUUUUUAUCUUUUAAUGUCAAACAUAUCCUACUAGUUUAAUACCCCCCACCCACCUCACCCCACCCCUCCCCUGCGUAAUAGCAAGGUGGCAUAUACCCGGAUUAAGUUUGGGAUUAAAUUUUAUACUUGUUUUGUUGAAGGUAUAACUAAAAUUUAUACCUCAAACAUGGUGUUAUUUUAUCCCACCCGGGGGAUAAAUUAGUCUCAUGGUUAUAGGAUUAUAAUCCUGGGAAUUGGGAUAACUUUGGAUGUGAACCAAACAAGCCCUAUGCACAAUUUCAUACUAUACUGAGCAUUCAAAUAUUUUUUUAAUAAUGAAAAAAAGAAAAAGAAACGAUCACCUAAAAGAUUCCCAGAACUUUUUCUUAUGAGGAAAACAUAAUGCCUGCCCACUUUUAGGCGUGGUAGACAACCAAAUCCAUAAAUGAAUCUUUAUACUUGAUUAAGUGACUUCAUUUUUCUUCACAACGAAAGACAACUUUUCUUUACAUUUUUUUAACAUCAAGAACAACUAAUAGCUCGAGCAGCGGAGAAGCACUUAAGAGUGUAAGGGAUUUAGGAAGUAGGAGUAAGACAAAAUACACACAUUGCGAGACUAGCCAGUAAGAUAGGAAUGAAGUUGAGGUGAUAUUAGAUGGAACUGAGGUACCUAAUGAAGACGGUUCAGAAAUGCAGUCUCAGUAUUCCAGAAGAGCAAUUUGAUAGAUGUUAUGCCUAGCAAGUGCACUAUAGUAGGAAUAUUGAAUUGGAAUACUGCCAAAGUUAUGAGAUAAGAGGAUACCCAGGCAAAGUGAAAAUCAAGUUCUAUAAAACGACAGUAAGUUCAGUUAAGCAUGACGAGAAUUGAGUACCUGGAGUGCAAGACUCAUUAAGUGGUAGUAACAUAAGAAAAAAACUCACUUAAUGGUUAAGAUCUGAAUGAUUUAAGACUCGGAAUUUUUUUUAAAAAAAAACAGACUUAAUAACAGAGAUCUGAAUGAUUCAAAUUAAAACCUUUAUUAAGUGCAAACAAAUUGAGGCCUUGGUAUAUUAGUAGUAUAGUUACUAUAGUAUAUUAGAGUACCUCUAAUGUAUGAGAAUCCUUAAAUAUGGAGUAUUGAAACAUCACAAACCCAAAUAGAGCAUUUAUGAUACCGCGGAUUCAUUCAGCCGACCCCAACUAGCUUGAGAUUGAGGCCUAGUUGUUGUUGUAAGAACUGUUAGAAUAUGAAUAGGUUUAUACAAUCCUAUUACAUGAAUAAGUUUAUACAAUCCUAUUAGAAUCAGAGAUGGACCCACAUGUAUAGGUGGGGGUGCACGCGUUAACUUCGGAAAAAAUCAUGUAUAUAUACAUAUCUAUCUCAAAAAACUAUAGAAACAGAGAAUAUAAUAAAGAGUGCACCCUUAGAGAAACAUAAAACUGCUUUAGUCCGCUGGUAGAAGCGAGGAAAUUCACCCCUGGGACCUGCGUUCUAUCCUCGUCAACAUCCCCUUUUUUACUCUUUUUAUUACUUACUCUUUUUAUCACAAACUUAAGGGUUUAUUUAUAACAUCAAAAUUGCUAAAUAAGGGGGAUAGGGUUUAUUUAUAACGUCAAAAUUGUUAAAUAAGGGGAUUCAAAUUCAUGACCAUUCAAUAGCUAUUAAUGACUAAUCAACUACGACAUUAUCCAUUAAUCGUCAUUAAAAAAUUCGUUAUUAUCCAUUAAUCGUUAUUGAAAAACUCACUAUUAUCCAUUAAUCAUUAUUGAAUAAUUCGGUAAUGCUUAAAUUAUGAUAUUAUUAGUGCACCCAGACUCUUUAAAUCUAAUUAAAAUAGGCAUAAGUUUAUACAAUUCUAUUAGAAUAGGAAUAUGUUUAUACAAUCCUAUUUAGAAUAGGAAUAGGAAUAGUAAAUAGUAUCCUACUUGGUAAAGGAUUGUAUAAUAGAUUUGUAGUAUCUACAAUAGGGUCUCAAUGUAAUACUGUAGACACGACAACAAUUCAAUAAUACUCUUUUUCAAUAUUUCUCACAUGGUAUCAGAGCCUCUACGAUCUUGAUAGAAAAUCAAAGAGUUUUCGCUGCCGGCGGGUGGCUAUUACCCAUAUAUCCUCUGCCUGUCUGGUCAAUGAUUAUGUUAACAAAAGUAGGACCAAUGAUGCAUGCAUGAACCCCAUAUUCAAGGGAAGAAAUUCAGUCAGAUAGGUCACCGUGCAUCAAUUUUCGGUGACUUUCUAGGGCUGUUUUGUGUCAACCCCAUAUCCGUCGGUAUUUGUGUAGCACCGUUCCAUCUUUUCGGUGACUACUUUUUCAUAUUUAAUUUAUGUAGCACCGUGCCAUCUUUUCGGUGACUACUUUCUCAUAUCUAAUUUGUGUAGCACCGUGCGAUCUUUCCGGUGACUACUUUUUCAUGUCUGAUUUGUGUAGCACCGUCCUAUCUUUUCGGAGACUACUUUUUCAUAUUUAAUUUGUGUAGCACCGUGUCAUCCUUCCGGUGACUACCUUUUUUUGCAUAUCUAAUUUGCGUGGCAUCGUGCAUCUCUCCGGACUACUUUUCAUAUUUAAUUUGCAUAGUACCGUGGAUUUUCCUGAACUACUUUCUCAUAACUGAGUUGCAUAGCACCGUGUCUUUUCGGGUGACUCCUCAAAUUUGAUCAGUGUGGUUCCAUUCGUCUUUCCGAUGACUCCUCAAAUUUGAUUAAUUUGCGUGGCAUCGUGCAUCUCUCCGGACUACUUUUCAUAUUUAANNNNNNNNNNNNNNNNNNNNNNNNNNNNNNNNNNNNNNNNNNNNNNNNNNNNNNNNNNNNNNNNNNNNNNNNNNNNNNNNNNNNNNNNNNNNNNNNNNNNNNNNNNNNNNNNNNNNNNNNNNNNNNNNNNNNNNNNNNNNNNNNNNNNNNNNNNNNNNNNNNNNNNNNUAUUUUCUAGUUGGGUCGUGACAUCAUUCCGACCCUACCCAUAUAAUUUCUCUUUUUCAGUAGGUUCGUGCCAUCAUUCCGACUCUACCCAUAUUAUUUCUCAUUUUUCAGUUGGGUUGUGCCAUCAUUCCGACCCUACCCAUAUCAUUUUAUUUCUUAGAUCGUGACCAUUCAGCCAUCAAAUCUAAUACUCUGGCGUAUGAGCAUGUUCCGGCCAAUUUUUCGGUGACUUUCUUGUUUAAUAACGACUCAUCUAUUGAUUCCAACACGAUCCAUAUACUUAUACUAGAUUUUGAGCACUUUGUUGCUCAUGGGGAGUUUAGUAGCCUUGUAGGUCGAUUAUGUAAGUCACUCUAUGGUCUAAACAGUCGUUGCAAGUUUGGCUUGGGAAGUUCAACACUAUAAUUUUAUCACUCCGUGUUUUAUCGGCAUUAUGCAUCAAAUUCAGUAUUUCAUGAGAAGAUUAAGCACAUUGAGAUUGACUGACAUUAUGCAUCAAAUCCAAUAUUUAAUGAUAAGAUAAGCACAUUGAGAUUGAUUGUCAAUUUUAUGAAGUCGACUAAUCAACUUGCAGAUAUCUCACCAAUCCCCUCAUUGGGCCUCGUAUUAAUUACAUUUGUAACAAGCUAGGUACAUGAAUUGUAUGCACUAGCUUGAGGGGGAGUGUUAGAACAUGAAUAGGUUUAUACAAUCCUAUUAGAAUAGGAAUAAGUUUAUUCAAUCCUAUUAGAAUAUGAAUAAGUUUAUACAACCCUAUUAGAAUAGGAAUAGGUUAAUACAAUCCUAUUUAGAAUAGGAAUAGGAAUAGCAAUAAGAAUAGAAAUGAGAAUAGUAAAUAGUAUCCUACUUGGUAAAGGAUUGUAUUGUAGUGUCUAUAAAUAGGGUCUCAAUGUAAUAUUGUAGACACGACAACAAUUCAAUAAUAUUCUUUUUCAAUAUUUCUCACAAGAACAAAAGAAAUUUUGUAUUUUUCAAUGCAUUCAUGAUCUGACAGAAACUAGAUACUCUUUCUCCAGUGGUUUCCCAUAAUUAUAAUCUGAUAGAAGAUCAACUCUAAGCAAGAUUUAAUAGUGCAAUGUCAUUAAACGAGGUGAAUUUACUUUUCUGUAUAAGUGAAUAUGAGGCUAAAGUUCAAGCGACCACAUAUCAGAAAAUGUAAUUAAUGAUUUUGCAGACAACUAUUUAGAUUAGAUGCAACAGACAUUAAUAAGAAUCCAGCAGGCAGCUAAAACUUUUCUCACAAAAUGCAAGACAGUAACAACAUUAAACAACAAUCUCAGUACGAAAACUAUUUAUCAAAAAGAUCAUUCAGUAUAAAAUUUCAAAUCUAAUUCUAAGAUCCAUUAUGAAGUACCGGAAAGUAGCAGGCACAACACCAUGUGACAGCCUACAUUAACUAGUUUAUCUGGGUCCUUGAGCUCGCUGCACAUCAUAACCACCCCAAGCACCAGGCCCAUGUCCAUAUUGAGAAUAACCUUCAGCACCACCCUGCACCUAAAAUAUAAAAGAACAACUAAACUUAGAAAAUAAAAUACUAAGGAAAAGAAGUCACAUUUCAUCUAGAUGAACAAGAGCAAAAUACUGUUGUCCUUCUGCUCACUUUGAAAUCCCAUCAAAUGCCAAAACCACAACAGAAUUACUUACAGGAUGAGCAGGGUUCAUAGGAUUCAUUCCGUAAUUAGCAGGAUAAUAAUUCCCUGGAUAACCAGAUUCCGGAUUCCCAUAAUUUGCAUUGUACCCUGCACCUGUGCAGAUAAAGAUGAACUUCAUGAAACUGGUACAGUACUAAUAAUCUAUGUCCAAUAAAACAUGAGAAAUUUUAAAGCAGCAGCUGCGAAAGAUUAUGUGUGUGUCUCUGUCUGUCUAUAUACAAACAAAAAAUUAAACAGGGCACCAAUUGGAGCAAUCAUAUCCAACUGAGCUUGUCAGGGAUUUGAACCUCCAAUAAACUAUUACAAACCCGUUUUUUGUUAUUUUGUUAUUUAAUAAAAGAGGAGAUAAACAGUAUUAUAUGGAGCAAAUUCAAUACACUCCAAAGAAGCUUGUGAAGGACUUAAACCUAAUGUAAAAUUUGAUAAAUUCUACUAUCCACUUAAGGUAAAUAUUAUUAGAAAAACUCUGAAUUCUGAUAUGAAGCAAUAAAUCAAAUAGACAACCAGGUAACUGCGUGAACCAUAUAGCAGCUUAAUACAUUAAAACAAUGUCACUAUUUGAUCAUGCUUAAAAGUGCUCAAUCAAGCAAAGACAAUUCCGCUGAGAAACACAACAGCAAGGAAAAUUUGUCUUCAUCAGAAGAUGGAUCUUUCAACGUGCUUUUUCAUAUCUGCAUUUUACAGUUUCUGAACUUGGAUAAGGAAAAGUACCUGGAUUCCCUACAGCUGCUGCUGCUCGGGCUCUUUUUUCUGCAUUAGCAACCUCAGCUCGAAGUUUUUCAAGUUCUCGAGCCAUUGUUAGCAAUUUUUUCUCCAUAACCUGACCAUGUUCAUAGUUUUCUGCGUAUCCUUUCUUCUCAUUCUCAAUAGCUGCCCUGUAAGCCAAGAGUACAGUAAGAAACUAUCAAUUUGAAAAUGUUCCACAGAGAGCAGAACUCUGGGGAAAAGAAUACCUUGCUCGCUGCAGCUCUUGUUUUAGACCUUCAAUUUCAGCUUUUAUUGCUGGAGCCUGCUGUAAAUCUGCAGUCAUUCUACUCAAAUCCUGUGUCAUUCUUUGAUACUCAACAGUAAGCUCUUGUCUGGCAGCAGUAAACUCCUUAAUAUCCGAGCGCACUCGCAUAAGCUCAGACCUCAUACCAUCAGCUACUUGGAGAUCCAUUUCCAACUUAGCAGACUUCUCAUAAAACUCUCUCAUUUGCACAUCAGUUUCCAUACGCAAAGAACGGGCAUAAUGAUCAGUUCGCUGAAGUUCGUAUUGAGCAGCUUCUACUUCUUGUUUCAGUGCUACAUGAGUUGCAGCCAACCGCUGGUUAUCAACUAAUAAUCCUUGAAUCUCAUCAUGCUGACUAGCCAGGUGUUCCUCAAGAACAGCAGGGUGUGGAGGCAUUGGUCUGGAGCCCAUUCCAAACUGUGAUUCUCUCAUUUCUUCAAGCAUUGCUGGAUGAGGCACCGGCAUGCGACCCCUAGCAAACUGGGACUCAUGCAUUUGCGGAGGAAGUCCACCAUGAGGACCACCUUUCAUUGGAAGUGGAGGCCCGCGAUUUCGACCAGCCAUCUUCUUUGUUUUAUCUUGUCUUGGUUAUGAAAUGAUCAAAUAUAUCUGUUAGGAAAAAACACCAAUUGAUAUCAGUGACUUAUGAAAACUACGAUGGAUAAGGGAAUAAGGGGGUCUUAGUAAAUGACUUCCAUCCCACCCCAAACCCUUGACCUAAAAUCAAUAGUGAGGGACAGAGCAUCAACAUAGCAUAAAAGGGGAAAAAAACUUCUACACCUAAGCAGUAUCAAUUUAUUUUUUUACAGAUGACACCCAAAGCUGUGACCUAGUGGUUUAUGAAGUGGGUGAGCACUUUGAAGGUGGAAAUGAAAAACAACAAAUCAAUGACGGCUCAACCCUAAAGCCACUAAAGCAGUGGAAACAAAUAAGGGCCUCAAAAUUACAAAUCCCUGAAAAACCCUAAACCCCCAAAUUCAGUUCAAACGAACACACAACGAUAUAUGAUUAUCAUGCAUGAGAAAAACGAAGCUCAAAUACAAACAUAUAUACAUCCGAAGACGCCAAAUCGCACAGAAAAAGAAAUAAAUUCUAGCAAGAAGCAAGAUUAAACGAACACAGAGACAGUAAACCCAGAAGAUGAAGGAGAUACAUACCUAAAAAGAGCUGAACAAAUCUGAUGAAGGCGAUGUAAACUGUUAAUUGUGAAAAGCACCGUAUUGAGUCAUGUCAGAAUGAACGCUGCGCUUCCAAGGACAAAAAAUAAAACAAGUAUUUAUUGUUUGUAAUGUUUAAAAAUAUUUAUACAAAGAUUAGAAAAAAGAAAAAAAAUAGUGAUUGAAAAUUCAAACAGGUACAUUUUAAUUUAAUAACAAUAAAAAAUUAAUUAAUUUUUUUUUUAUAAUAGAUAUUUAAGAUAGUUUCUCUCUAUAAAAUAAUUUUAAUAAUAGAAGCACGUUAAUAAUUGUCUUUUUUUGUAAUUUAACUCUCAAAAACACUUCAAAAAAAAAUCAGUCAAACACAAUUUGCUUAUAAAAACACUAAUUAGUCAAACACAAUUUGUUUUUUUUUUCAAAAGCACUUUUUUAAAGAACCAUUUUUAAAAACGCUUUUAAAAAUAAGUUAUUUUUAGCAACAAUCCCAAACAGGCUCUUAGUUGGUAUGGAGAAUUGAUUGAUCCCCUUUAAUACCUUAUGAGUCGAGCCUAUCUCAUAGGGUUUGCCUAUGCGUUUUACAUAUCCUGUGUGGUUUGCAGGCUAUAUCAUUAUAGCAACUGCGGGUUAUACUAAAAUUUUCAAAAAAAAAAAAUUACCUUGAGAUUUCUUUCGGACAUUUUAAGCUCAAACUAAUUUAAUCAUCAUAUAAUUAAAUUUAAAAAUACAUUGUCUUAACUUUAAAUAUCUUCUAAAGAUAACAACACAAAGAAAAAUAUUAUACAACUAAUAAAUGAUACUCCAAUUGACAUAUUCCAUAAGGUGAAGUCUUAAUUCUAUUUUUAAACACUUCUAGAAUAAUUCAAUCAAAAUUAAAAUAUUUAAAUACUUAAAGUAAAUAGCAAACAAACAAAUAUUUUAACAUAAUAUUCUUCAUGUACUCAGAUGUAUAAAUUUUCAAUGUGAACUUAUUAUGUUUAUCUCUUUAACAUAAUUUAUCAACUGGAGAAUACAAGCAACCCAACCAGCAUAAUUUGUCCAUAUAAAAUUUAAUUAAUUAUCCAUGAUUGUCAUGAAAUGAAUACAAUACGAACAUUAUUAUACAUUUUGUUGAUAAUGCAAAGACAAAAAAAAAAAAUCUCAAAAAUUCUUUUUCCGUAGUUGCUCUAGAACAAAUAUCUUUCAAUAACUUUUCAAAUAUAUUCUUCUCAUUUGAGUAAAUUUUAUUUCUUCAAACUUCCAGUCACGAGUAUAUGUAUUUGAGAAAGUCGUGGAACAUUUGGCAGCGACCGGUCGCAAUGAUUUGCACCUAGUCGGAGCAAAAAGCAAAAAUCACUUUCAAGAUAGUUACUCGCACAAUAAUGUUUUGACUCAGUAUUGUUUUUUAAUAAGUUUCUCGACUCUUAGUCAGAGAUUUCGGGUCGAUAGGCACAAUAGUAACAAACGGCUAAUGACAAUUAUUCAAUGUAAGAAGACCCCACUUCAUGGAAUUUUGAAGCACCAAAUUGAAGUGAAUACCACAAAGGCGCCUAGAGAUAGCAAUAAAACAAACCAACGACUAGUUUUUUUUUUCUUCCAAAUAUAUGUACAUAAUUCAUUCUCUUAAUCAUUUCAUCAUAUCAAGUUUUGAACUUUCAUCAAUUUUUCUGAUACUUGAUAUACAACAUGGAAGCAAUAUGGAAUUUAGAAGAGAAAUGGAAAAUAUCGAAUCGAGGAGCUAUAGCCUUACUGGUAAUUUGCACCUGUUCCUUAGUUAUUGGAACCUGCAUUAUUGCUGCUUUAAGGAGAAAUGUAAGAAGGAGAACAGAGCCGCGUGUUGAUGAUUCAACAGACAUAGAUUGUUUAGAGCCACAAGCAGAGCUGGGUCCGGUGAAGGAGGUGCUUACCAGUUCUGUGAGGUGGAGCCAGAAAGAGAAGCUUUCUCCAUUGCUCGUUAGCGGAGAUCUGCAAACUGAAGCUGAUUUUGGAUGGCAAAAUCGCGGUUCAGCUUCACCUGUGUGGAAAAGACCUAUACUUAUGGGUGAAAAGUGUGAGCUGCCAAAGUUCAGUGGUCUUAUACUCUAUGAUCAGAGAGGUCAUGCCACUUCAUCAAGUCGAUAAAUGGAUUCAAAUACGAUCAGGUAAAACAUAAAUACAUAAUAAGAGGCAAAAACAUCAAGAGAAACAACAUCUAAUCAUUCCGAAGAAUUUAUAUUUAUAUACAUAGUUCAGUUUUUACUAUACUCCGAAAGCAUACGUAUAAGUUCAGGAUAAUUACUUAUAAAAUAAUGGAUGCUGAAGAACACUGUAUUUGUUACUGUCAUACCUAGGGGCGGAUAUACUGUAAAACAGACUUAAAAGUUCACGUGAACUCAAUAGCUUUUGUCCAGAUCUCGUAUAUAUAUAUCAAGGAAUCCACCAAGUAUCUAUAAAUAUUUCAUACUAUACCAUCAGUUUCUUUAUUUAAACGUAAUUCUGCAUCUUCAAUCUAUGAUUUGAUAAGGAAAAGGGGAACAAGAAAAAUAUAAGCAUUAGAAUCAAUGCAGAAAGAUAUUCAGUUAACGGGUAUAGCUGAAGGCGUUCAAUGACUAGGGAACUGCCAUCACCUUGAGCUUGGAAUUCCCACCAUUCUCCACGCAAUCAAGUGAGAACUUACAAUCACCUAGGACAAAUAAAG